GCUGAUUCAAUACUUAGUAUAGAUAAUAUAGGUUGCUGGUUCAAUACUUGGUAUAUAUAGUAUAGGCUGGUUCAAUACUUAAUUAGUAUAUAUAGAUAGUUUAGAUAUGGUUCAAUACUGAGUAUAGUUUAUAGUUUAUAUAGUUUAUCGCUAGAACAUUAGAACAUUGGUUCCAGCUUCAUUCUCAGAAAUCAUGAGAGAACAGUAGAACACUGGUGAAUUAAACACUAGAGCUGGUGAACAGCACAAAUCAAUUUCAAAGAGUAUGAAACAAACGAUUAAACAUAUGAGAACUCGAAGUGAAAUUUCAAACAAUUUCAUGCAAAUCCAAACAAUUAAACGUACACUAGAGCAUGCACAAAUCAAUUUCAAAUCCAAACAAUUUCAUGCCUCAUACAGAUUCAGGUGAGAGUUAGGGUUCUAACAUGUGAGUACUCAAAGAGCAAACCCAAACAAUUGGGAUUAGGGCGAAGAGCAGUGGGACAGAUUUGGAUGAGAUUUGGGGAUGAGAUUUGGGAGAGGGGUGACUGAUUUGGGUGAGAGAUCGAGUUGUUGAAUCAAGUCUAGGUGAGAACUCGAUCGAGUGUGAGAUUCGGAUCGAGUGUGAGAUCGAGUUUGGGUGACUGAUUUGCAAAAAAGAGAAAUUGGAAAGUGAAGUUUGAGAUCGAGUUUGGCUGAGAGAAAUUUUACGCAAGUGAGUUAAAACUAAAAGGAACCUAAAACUAAAGGGUGAGAACUCAAACUGAAACUUAAAAUUUUAGGGCCAAAUUUUGGGUCAGGCGCGAAGCCAAAUUUUGGGCACAGUGUCCAAAAUUUAGCCCAAAACUUUUGAUGACCGUAAUAAACUGUCAUGGGUCAGGCGCGAUAGCCCAAAUUUUGGGCACAGUGUCCAUUUUGUAUGCUAUUUCAAAAUGGGAGCAAUGCAGAUCUUGAUAACUGUUUGAUAUGUAAUGCAUCUCAGUGGAAAGAUAAUGAUGUUGAUGGAGGUUUAAAGCUUGGUUCGGGGCCUGGAAAACGUCGAGCAACAAAGCAAAUAAGAUACUUUCCAUUAUUAAAACCAAGGUUGCAGAGGUUGUUUAUGUCCUUUAAAACAGCUACCCUUAUGAGAUGGCAUGUUGAGAAACGAACAUAUGAUGGUGUGUUUAGGCAUCCGGCAGAUUCUCUUGCAUGGAAGAAUUUCGACAGCAAACACUCAAGUUUCUUUGCUAAUAUUCGGAAUGUAAGGCUUGGCUUGGCCUCAGAUGGAUUUAAUCCAUUUAGAACUAUGAAUAUACCUCAUAGUACUUGGCCCGUCAUACUAGUUCCAUACAACUUGCCGCCAACGUUGUUGAUGAAGCAGCCUUAUAUCUAUCUGUCUGUGCUUAUUGAUAGACCACAAGCUCCAGGUGAUAAUAUUGAUGUGUACUUGCAACCACUAAUAGAAGAAUUGAAGGAACUAUGGGAAGAGGGAGUUCCGACUUUUGACGCUUCAAGUAAUCAAAUGUUUCAAUUGUAUGUUGGAUUAUUGUGGACUAUCAAUGACUUCCCUGCAUAUGCCAAUUUAUCAGGGUGGAGUACAAAAAGUGAAUAUGCAUGCCCAAAUUGCAACUCUAAAACUGAUUCAGUAUGGUUGGAUGAUAGGAGCACAAAGUGUGACGUUCUUAAUAUGUUUAUACCCUUUAUUUACCCUUUGUUAACUCCUAUUUAGUUGUUUUAGCUUUAUAUUUGUGUUUAGUGUAGAAUAAUUGCUUAAUUUAGAAAUAUGUAGUUUUUAGUAUUAGAAUACAUAGUAUUUUCGGAUUUGAAUAAUUUGGUGUUGAAAUUGUGCUGAGUGUUGGAAACCCUUGUUUACUCAGGAUUCCUGUCUUGAUCAAGAUUCCAUCUUUCCUCGAAGCCUAGUCCAUGAAGGAGAGGUCCAAACCAAGUCCAAUAUGGAGAAGAAGAUCUAAAUUCGGCAGAAUUUCAAGAAUAUCUAAGCCCUUGAAAAUCCGGAUUAAAUCGGGAGAAUUCCUGUGCACGUCUGUCAACUUCAACGGACUCUCCAGGACAGCUCACAAUGAAUCAGAAAACGUGCCAGAUAUGGAUAGAAAGCUACGGGAGUCUAGUUCCAAUCAAUUUGGAAUCACCUCAAUAUCUGUUUUCUAGAGGGAGUUAUGACGCAAUCAUCAGACGGAGGUCAUUCUGCCGAAAGGGAGAAAAACUANNNNNNNNNNNNNNNNNNNNACACGACUUCAAGGACAGAAGAGCAUCAUCAACCCGUGCAAAUAACACCAAAGCCUUUGCCGAAACUCCAUCAACCUCCAAACACCACAAUCCGAUCCCACCUUCAGCAUUCGUCCAAAGCACGUAGCCUAGGACUCCGCGCACUCGAAGAAUGGAACAAGUAGGAUUAUUUUGAGAGUGUAUUUCAUCUUCUAUUUUCGGAUUGCUAUGUGUUUGUUCUUGUUUUUGUUUGCUUUAGGUAUUUGCUUAAGUAUGUUUCGAUUCUUGUCUAUGAGAUAGAAGUACUUUUGAGCCAUGUUAUGAAUUAAAGUUUACAAUUUAUAAUCAAUGAUUUGAGGUUUUAUGCCGUGAGUUUUAUAUACUUUAAGAUUUUCGGUGCUAUAUUCCAUUAUCAUGUGUAGUUGAUACAAGUAGUUGAUAUUGCAUGUGUUAAUCAUCCAAAGUUCGACUUUGAUACACGUAGUUGAUAAGUUGCAUUGUCUUUGUUUUUCACCGAUUUUCUACCUAUGUUUGAUUUGGACUUGUGCUUAAACACAUCAAAUUCUUUAUGUGAUACGUAAUUGCAUGAUUAGUUUAUGUGUGUGACCAAUAAGUAGAGCAUGUAGCCGAGCUUGUUGUGUCGCGAUGUUGAAUGAAACCCGUAGUCUAAUUCUAAGUUGGUCUAUGUCAUAGGAACCACGUAGGAACUUCUGUGCAUAUCAAAUUUAGGUUGUAUAUUUGCUCACGGUGUAGACUUAAAUGAGAUUAGAAAUCGUCUUCUUUAUUCUUACAUGGUUGUUUGGUUGAGUUUGCAUGAAUGUUGGUUGAUCAUAUGUAUAUAUGUAUAGAAGCAAUUUAGGAUUUAUUAUUAAUGUUGUUUAUUCCAAAAUCAUCAAACCUUUAAACCUAUAUGCUUAUUUCGGCACUUAUAUUAGAUUAGAUGGAUCUACCCUGUAGUUGGAUCCCCGGUUUAGAACGAUCCCUGCUUGCUUUAUACUACGAUUGAUUUGUUGACAGGGUUAAUUGAUGCGUGUGCAAAUACGUCUUAUCAUUGGAUCAUGGUCACAAGUGGUCAUUUGGGAGCAGUAGGAGAUUUUCACCUGAUGAUCACAAGUACCAGAGAGAUGCCAAGUCCUUCAAUGACUUACGAGAAUACAGACAAACCCCUCCAACACUAUCUGGAGUAGAUCUUCUCACACAGCUUCAAUCCAAUGGUGUACUUACAUAAUACAAAAAGGAAGAUAUGCUAACAAGGCAAGAGAUGGGACCGGAGAAACCAGAAAAAGAUCAUUUGAAGAAAAAGAAGUACAACUAGAAGAAAAAGAGUAUUUUUUAUGAGCUUCCUUACUGGCAGCACAACCUCAUUCGUCACAACCUUGAUGUGAUGCAUGUAGAGAAAAAUGUGUGUGACAAUGGUCUUGGUAUCAUAAUGGGAGCUGCUGGAAAAACAAAGGAUAAUUUGAGAUCUCGACGCGACCUUAAGACUAUGGGAAUUAGAAAGCAAUACCAUGUGAAAGAGAGGGAAGAUGGUACUAAAUACUUUGAUGUGCUGAUUUUGAUAUGAAAAAUGAUGGGAAAGAUAAGUUCCUCUUAGCCUUAUCUCAGUCAAGAAUGCCGUAUGGUUCUGCUUCUAAUAUUGCAAGGCGGGUACGUUUGAAGGGUCGUACGAUUGGAGGUCUUAAAAGCCAUGAUAAUCAUACCCUUCUACAAUAAUUAAUUCCCUAUGUAUAUGAAGUUCCUUACCGAAGAAUGUGGUUGAAAGGUUGAUCGAUCUCGGCAAGUUUUUCAAAGUGUUGUGCUCCAAACUAAAUUGUGCAGCAGAUUUGGAGGAGGCACGUUCUCGCAUUAUUGUAACCCUUGGUGAUCUGGAGAAGAUAUUUUCACCAUCAUUUUUUGAUGUAAUGGAGCACUUGCCUAUACAUCUAGCUGAAGAAGCAUUAAUUGCUGGUGCUGUGCAGUGUCGGUGGAUGUACUCAAUUGAAAGGUACCUGUUCACAUUGAAGUAAUACGUACGACAAAGGGCACAUCCUGAAGCAUCAAUAGCUAAUGGGUAUUUGAUGGAAGAAUGCAUGAACUUCUGCUCCCAAUACCUCAAAGAUGUAGGGAGUAAGUCAAACAGACCGUUAAGAAGGAAGAAUGCCGUGGAUAACUCUAAGAAAGGGAAGACUUUUUUUUCUCUUAGAUGUUACUCAUACACAAAUUCAAAGACGGGUCUUGUUUCAUACUGAUGCAGGCACACCAUAUCUCUAGUAAGUAAUGCAUCCAAUUCUUUUUUUUCUCAUAGAUUUGAACCAUAUAAUACUUUGAUUUGUUGAUAUGCUACUGUAUAUGUUUAAUAGUUUCUCAUUUUAUUACUAUGCAUGGAGCAUACGUCUGUCAUUAAAAAUCCAUGUCCUAAUGCCAAUGAUGUUAAUGUUGCAUGUAUUCAUUUUGAUGAGUUUGCAGACUGGUUUAAGGCACAUGUGAGUUGUCUGCAAAAUAUGGGUGAUGUGUCCUUACCGGAAGAAAUUGUGGCUUUAUCAAAUCCUCCUAGUCCUUCAGCAGCUAGGCUGAAAUCAUAUACAUCUAAAGACCAUUUUUUUCAAGUGAAAAGUGUUGACAACAAGCGAACUAGGCAAAACAGUGGUGUGUCUUUACAAGGAGAUACUUUACGAUAUUAUGGGAGAUUGAUAGAGAUCAUCAAAAUUAGCUACUUUAUUGAUAUCAAGUAUGUGUUGUUUAGGUGUGAGUGGGCACAUCCUUUAGCAGGAGUGAAAAAAGAUCCUUUUUACUUCACUUUAGUUAACUUUAGAAGAUUGUUAUACCAGAAUAACCGGGUUAGGGAUGAACCAUUCAUCUUAGCAUCUCAAGCACAUCAGGUGUGGUAUACCCUAGAUCCUUCAGAAGAAGGUUGGAUAAAUGUCCGCAAAGUGGAGUCAAAGGACUUCUCUCAUGUGCAAUUUGAUACGAGUGAUGAAAUGGAGUCAGUGGUAGAUGUCUGAAAUUGUAUUGAGCUGUUGCUUUUAAGUUAUAUGAAAUAUCUCAAUCUACUAUGCAAUUAGGUUUGUUAUUAAAUUUACAUGUAAAUUUGUGGUUGUUAUCAUAACUUGUUAGCAUUAUUUAUUAGUAAAUAAUUUGUCGUUGAUCAAGUGUUUAUUCUUAUAGGUGACCAUGUUCGGGAAGAAAAGGAAGAUUGGUAGACCACGCCACAUGUCUGAAUUCUUGAGUCCUAGUGGUUAUGCAUCAAGCCACAAUAGUUUCUCAUCAUCGCAGUCAUCCAACACGUCUCUUCGUUCACCUUUGAUACCGCCAACUCCACUGCCUUCUCCUCCCCAACCUACUCCUCCCUCUACAUGUAAUACCCCGUAUCUAAAAGGUUAUUGUUCGGGGUUAUGAGUUACCGCGGAUUUUUCUUUAUUCGCGUUCAGAGAUUUAAAUAGUGUUUGCUCGAGUUUGUUUUUGAAAACGGUAAAUGGUGGAUUUAAAACUCCGAAGUCGUGGUACACGUUUAUACGAGCUCACCGGUAUGCCUGGAUUAUUUUUCGGAGUGAUGAGCUAUGUUUUGUGAAUUUAUGAAGUUUACAGUAAAUUUUCAAUUAUUAUUUAUUAUAACUGUUUUACUGUAAAAGACCCAGAAAGUUGACUUUUCGUUAAGUCGAUAAUUUGGGAAGACUUCCUUCAUAGAAGUCGUAGAGGACGUUAAUACGAGUUCGUGGACACAUGGCAUGCUUAAAUUGGAGUUCGUAUCAAGAAGUUAUGGUCUAAAAACGAAAGUUACGAUGUUGGUUGGGGUAAAUUUUUGAUAGGCUUUAUUUUGGAUGUGGGUAUUAAAGUUGGACCGGGUGUGUGUAGCAGCCCAACACACCCCCUCCCCCGCCCACUCUCUUUCCUUCCUCUCUCCUCCCUCCCGAGUUUCCCCUAGACCGGCCGGCUUCACCACCAUCACUUGCCGCCGUCCGGCCACUAGAGAUCGCCGGACUGGUCCCGUUCGGACCCUUGUCGCUCCCUCUUCCUUCCUGGGCCGGUGACCGGGUCGGUGACGCUGCCGGACAUGAGAAAUCCCGCCGGAACGCCGGAUGGUCCACUCGCCGGAAAUUUCUCCUCCGGCCACCAAAGUUCGUGACUCUUGGCUCAUCAUGUAGCUCUCAUCAAGGUGAGUAUUCCCUAAAAAAGAAUUGGUCCAAUUCGAUCUUGUUAGGGUGAAAUGUAUAAUUGGAGCUCUAGGGUUCUUUAUUGUGUUUUGAUUUGAUUGACCUGUUUAGAGCUAGAAUUGAGCUUAGUGUUGUUCAUGAAAGUUGUUCAAAAUGUUGAGAGGAAGCUUCUGUCAAAUUUUGGUGACGAUUGGGACCGCCGCCGCCGGCGGAGCUGGCGGCGGUGUUGCCACUUUUUGGGCAGUUUUUCAUGCUUAUUAAAUUGCUAAAAAUGGUAGAAACCCAUUGGUGGAAAGUUAACAAUUUUUGGAGUAAUGUUGGUUAGGUUUCAGAUUUUCCGAAGACUAGGAUAUUAACGAUUAAAAUUAAUAACCGGGUAUAGGAAUAUUACUGUUAGACAGUUGUUGGAUUGUGCUGAUAUGUGGAAGUGGAUAUUGGAGUAUUAUGUAUGGAUUUGGGAUUGGUUUUAGUUGAAGUGGGUGUCCAUAGUAUAUCUAAUGGGUGUCCAUAGUAAAGACUAGUUAGAAUGCUUAGCAAACUUGGAUUCAAGGUGAAAGAAUGCAUGUUUGAUGAUUUGCAUAAGUAUGGUUUUGAUUUUGGACUUAUGGUGGUAAAUGUGAUGUGGUUAGGAAAGGUAAAGUUGUAGAUUAAAAUGCUGAACUACGAGUGGCUUGAUCCCUUUAAAAGGGUACGUAGGCAGCCCGACCAAGUUUUGGGUGUAGCCGCAAAUUAACAAAAUAAAUUUUAGGUUCCAAACGCGACAAAAAUGUUUGUCGUUUUGUUUGAUCAUGAGAUCCUAUCUCAUUUUCGAAUUAGGAUUUCUUUAUUUAUUUUAUUCGUUUAUAUUUUUAACACCUGGGUCAGGGUGUUACACUACAUUACCUCUUCCAACCCCAGGUAUGCCUUAUUCCACUUUUUCUUUUAAUAUUUUCAGCCUCAUUAUAAUGAUCAAAUCUAUUGUUUACAACUCUUCAAAUUAGAUGCUCAGCCACACUAGCUACUAGCAAUAUUGCCAGUAGAGGUCAUAAUAAGGGCAUCAUAGAGUGAAAUAUUGGAGAGAAUGUCAACAUUAUAUUUGAUUCUAAAUUCCAACCUGUUGGAGAAAGAGCUACACAAUUGAAGUCACAAUUGGGCAAGAUUGCGCAUGAUGGCAGGAGGAUUCCAUAUGCAUUGACAAUGGACUGGAAAUCUGUUGAUGAUAAAGUCAAAGAGGGAAUUUGGAAUGAGGUUAAGGUAAACAUUUCAUUGAUAAAACGUUAUAUGUGGUAACUGUAUUUAUUAAAAGUAAUUCUAUAUUGUUCACUGUUUUUUGUAGACAAAUUUGGUUGAUGUUCCAAAAGGAUACAAACCUGUCUGUCUCAAAUGUUGCAAUAAUCUUUGAUAGGAUCAUAAAAGCAAAACCAAAUCAACUACUUUGCACCAAACAAAAGCAAUCCAAAGCUGAGUUCUAUGGUUCCUCCAAAUAUUAUAGCAAAUCAAUGGACUGUGCUUGUCACCUAUUGCAACACUGAGGAUGCAAAGGUAGAAGUGUUCUGUCAUUUCCAUUAUAUUUUGCCAAAUAGGUUGACUCUAGCGUUUAAUUUUCAAACUGAUUUUGUAAGCAAUAGCAACCCGUAAUUCAAUCAAUUGAGAGACACAUGGACCAUCUCAUCAUACUGGUAGAAAGAAUUUUGCCCAAUUAAGAUAUGAGGUAGCUAGUGAUAUGAGGUAGUGUUGAAAAAACUUGUACUUGACAGAUGAAGAGGUUUAUAGUAAGAUAUGUUAUUAGUAUAUGGAGUUAUUCACUGUUUGUACUUGGCAAAUAGAACAAAGUAGAGAAGAAUCAGAUAAAUUUAGUGUGUGGGAAAAAGCACGCAAAGAAUCCAAUCCAGAAGUUGCCUAUGUCAUUGUAAGUUUCAACAACCUUGUUAUGUUAUUCACAAUUGUGGUUGUUCUUUUUUUGGUCUUUCCCUAGCUAAGUAAUUUAUAAAUUCAUGUAGAACGAAUACAACAGGAAAUUGUCACUGGUGAAACCUAUGGAAGACCAAAAGCUUACAGCUAUAAAAGACCGUAUUUUUCAUGAUGUUAUUAGAGAGGGCGGUCAUGGUUAUUAUCGUACCUAUGGUUACCGUGUCUCGCAAUUUGGUAUAUAUCCACAAGAACCAUCGGGAACUGCUGGUAACAAUGACGUCCUUAUAGCCAAAAUCACUGAAGAGGUAAUAUAGAAACUAAAAGAGUCUUUCGAUAAGAUAUUGGAGGAUGCUAUUAAACUGUUUCAAGCUCAGAUUGCCAAUAAUAUGGAUAGCACUGGGGGAAGAAACACAAAUGCAAAUGGACUGGUUAGUAAUUGUUUAGAUACACCGCCUUGUUAUUCUUUCAAAUUUUGAAAUACUUUUACUUGAUGUAGACCUGAAAUUGUGUUUUGAGACACUUUGAUGUUCUAAGUAAUGGAAAUUCUUUUUUGUUAUAAUGAAUAUUUUUGAAGUAUGGUUUAGUAUGAACUAGGAUGAAGGUGCUUGAUUUACUUGAAUCUAGAGAUGGUUUUAAGCAUUAGGGUCAAUGCUUAAGCAUGCAAUAGGUUUUUGUUUUCACCUUUCACUUCAAAUUAGACAACUAAUUGUAGAAAAUGGUCUCUUUUAUGCAAUAGAUACCAGCUGAUGCAACAAGUGGCCAUGAGGCUAGGAAGGAGUCCAUAGGAGAGGGAGAUGUUGAGGCCACUGCCCAUUUUUAUUCAACUUCUGAUGAUGUCACUGGUCAUCAUGAUUCUCCUGCAUGAUUUAGGUUUAUGCCAUAUUGUUGUGUUUUAGAAUGUGAUAAAACAUGAUUAUGCUGGAAUAUUGUUGUCCCUUUAUGAAGCUUUUUUUAUUGUUGUAGUACUCUGUUGGUUUGGUUUAGGUUCCAUGAUGUGGAAUAAUGUUUAUGUGGGAUAAUUUGGUUAUGAAAUAUUGGUCAUUGUGUUGAUUUUGUUGGAAUGAAUGCUAGUUGAUGGUGGUGUUAGUACCUUGUUGUUUAUGGUUAUUGCUAUUGUGGAUUGAAUGAGAUUUGAAUUUGCAGAUUUAUGAUAGAAAUGAGAUUUGAAAUAGUUGUGGUACUGUUGAACAAUUUCUGUAGUUGGUGACGGCAGAAUCCCGUCGCAAAGGGUUUUGGCAGGAAAAUUCAGAAAAUUCGGUUCAGAUUUGAAUUUUUUUAAAUACGAUUGCCGUCGCCAACAAAGAUAUUUGCCACGGCAAGUUCAGUAGCCAAUUUCCGUCGCUAAUUAAGAGACAGUCUUUGCAGUCGCUAUCUGCCAUCGCAAACAUGGUUGUGACGGCUCACUGCCGUCGCCAAAAGCAACGGUGACAAGAAAAAGGCCGUCGCCACACCGUCGUAGUUGGUUUUUGUGACCGUAUAAUGACUUUUGGCGACGGCAUUGCUCCGUGGCUAACUGAAUUAAUUUUUAUAGUGAUAGUAGGAAAGCUGUAUUAUUAGACAUUGUUAAGAUAUAUAAUCGUGUUACUUAUCUAGUGAAGUAGUGAUUAUUUUGUUAUGUCACCGUUGUGACAAAAUAAAUAAAGUCAUCAUUAGAGCAAUACUAGUAGGUUCUUGUUAGCAUGUACUUAAUUUAUAGAGUAGAGAUUCUCGAUAUUAUUUCGGGACGUCUAGAUGCUUACUGUGACAAGGCGUUUAGGUUUCACGCGCGUCCCUUUUUGUAUUUGACAGUUCCAUUGGUAACGGUUUGAGAACAGCUGCACUAACCCUUUAUUCAAAAAGAAAGAAUCUAAAUUUGGAAUAAAACAAAUUAACAGUGCAUACAAGUUACAACGCUUAUAUGUACAGUAAAGAGCCAACAUAUCACGUGUCCAUAUCGGUUGGCAGUUGCUGGUAAUGAAGAAAAUUAUAUAUAUAUAUAUCACUUUUUGACGAACUGCCAACCAAAUAACGAUCAUGGAUAUGUAUAUGGUUGACGGGGGUUGAGAUCGAUCAGUGUCUAGUGUCUGAUACUCUAAUGGUAAUCGUGGUUCAUGGGGCUGUGCAUGGAUUCCAUUAGGGUGACAGCCAGCUUCCUCUAAAUCAUUGUUUUAGUUGCCCACAUUUUAAUGGCCUGCCUCUCAAUAAUGGCUUAUGUACGUGAAACUGUGAAAGAAGCAUGACUCCCCACAGAUCAGGGGUAACAGUAUAUUGAUGCGAAGAUCAAUAGCAUAUUCUCUAGAUUUAGGAAAGGGAAAGGAUAAAAGAUUAAUAGGCAUAAUAUUCUCUAGAUACCUCAGUUAAUCUAAUAAUUAAUUACAUCGAUUUUCUUAUCCUUUCUUCUGAAUCGAUAAUUGCGUUUGUGAUUGGCAUAUAUCUCCAGGUAUAAACACACAUUCUAACAAAUUGCAUGUUUCUGUUCGGUGAUCGAAAUCAAAGAUGUACAUAAAGAUCUUACUUCACAAAAGUGAUCGUUAUCAUAUAUAUACAGCGCAUCAAGCAGUAUCGAUCAUUUUCUCAUGUGAAUGUUCUUCACCUAAUGGAUGUGAGAGAGAGAGAGAGAGAGAGAGAGAGGGUCUGUAUAUAUGUACGAGCUGAUAAGAACAUACAUAAAUCAACCAAAGUAAUUGGCGACCAUAGAAAACGGAACUAAGCAAAGUCCUUUUUUCUUCAGCCCUGUGCAGUCACUUUCCCUCCCAUUAAAAUCCAAUUCAGUAGGACUUGUCCCGUCUACAUUGCCAGAAGUACUUCCUUUCUCCUAUAUUACAUAUGCAACAACAAAGCUCAACUCAUAAGCAAUUAAGCAUCGUUCAGGUGAAAAACAUAAACUUAAUUACUAUGCCCACAAAAGUAAAAUGCAAUAAUAAAGAUGAGAAAUUACCUUAGAUAUGAUGUCUCUAUUAUCUCUCUGCAGAUUUUGUUUCAUAUUUCCUGAAUGGUAUAGAUUACAAACCUAAUGAAAAACAGCAACAUGAGAAAUUAAUAAAGAUCUUAAAAAUGCUUAAAUGUGAUAAAUGCAUGAAACUUGAGAAAUAAUUUGAUCCAUCUCUAGUACUUACCUUGGGACUGUUUGCAGGAGAAGUAGCUGUAUCCUCCAAGGCAUCAUCAUGAAGCAAAGCUUUUUUGGCUUUUCUUUUGAUGAUGCAGCUGGGUGAUGAUGAUCUGUUGCUAAACCCUAAGACUUCUUCGUUACAGUUAUUACCUAAAUUGCUGAAUGAAGAAGCAGCAUCAGAGACUAUGGAGUUUUCGUACCCGGAGGAGAAAGAUGAACUGUGGUGUUGAUCAUCGUGAUGAUGACUGCUUGUCAAGAAAUCUUCCAAGUACAUGGUCCAACUACUUUCCUCAGACUCAGAAGAAGAACGAGCUUUUUCCAUUAUAGAGUUCAUCGAGUGUUCCAUAUAUCCACAAGAGAAUAUAUAGCAAUCCUUCAAACUAAAAAAUAUACAGGAAGCUGGAUUGUAAGUGAGUGGGUAGUAAGUUGUAUUGGGGCAGUUAUAUAUCUCAAGUCUGGAUGAGAGUCGCUAGCUAUAUAUAUAGAAGAGAGAACACAUGAUGAAAGCAUUAGCUUAACUGAUCGAGGAUUAGUUUACAUGUAGCCGCCUUGUAUUAAGGAGGGAGUUGGAGGAAAAUAAUCAAUCAAAUCAUUGGCUGCAGUCGAGAGAGAGAGAGUCUUGAAUUUUGACCUCUGUGUGUAAGAUUAGUAGAUAGAUCAUAUACCAACAGAGAUUUGCCUAAUUCUUUUUGCGGGUGGAGCGAGGACUUGCCAUUUUUAUUAUUAUUAUUAUUAGUUUGGUUGAACAAGUCACUGGUUUAGUCACCGAAGACUUGGACUAGUUCCUUCGGCCAGUCCCGCACUGCCCCACCAGAGCAAUUAUCUAAUAAUUGUGCUCAUUUGACAAACAAUCCUGUUCUGGUUAGGUUAUAAGACACCUCAGUGAUAAUCUAACGAGUUGCGAACACCACAUUUACGGUCCAAGAGGUUAUUUCAGUAUAUAGCAAAAGCUCACCACCUAUCUCUCAUUUUGUUGAUAAAAUUCUCUAUGGUUUUUUUAUGUAUUUAUAUCAUAUUAUAGUUUAUUUAUAUUAUAUAAACAACUCAUAUAUAACAACUAGGAUAUAAUGAGUCGAAACCACAACCCCUACUUAAGAAUGCAAGACUCGUCUAUUAGACCAAAGGCUAAUACUCAGCGUGACCUAUAUGCACGGUUUCUAAUAAAUAAACCAAGUAAUUCAUUAAAGCUUGACAUGUUGAAGAUAAUGAAACUUCAAAGUUAUGUUCAAGACAAGAGGAAUUCUUCUGUGGGGCAAACGCACCACCUGGCUUAUGUGACCAUAUAUCCAAUCCCGUAUUGCCACCUGUCCUUUUUCUUCCAACUCAGAAAAGAGAAAAAAAAAAAAAAGAGAUCGGAUUCCUCUCUCAUCUCCGGCGAGACCCCUCUCACCCUCAAGCUCCUCCUCUCUCUCUCCACCCUCAAGCUCCUUCUCUCUCUCUCUCUCUCCACCCCUUCCUCUCUGAUGCUUCCACCAUCUAGUUUAGCGGCGUCGGGAGGUUUGGAUCGGCGACGGGAUCGACAGGGUUUCAUGGCAGCGGGUUAUGCACGGCUUGGCGGAUCUGAGGCGAGAUUUGCAGGGCGUGGAUUUCUUCGGCGGCGUGGGUAUCUUCGGUGGUGAGAGGGGUUGACGGAGAUGAUGUAGGAAUCCGAUCGGAGAGAUUGGGAUCCGAUCUCUCCUUGUUUCUCUUUUCUGAGUUGGAAAAAAAAUUGACAAAUGUCAAUGGCGGUCGCAUGAGCCAGGUGGUACGUUUGCCGCAUGGAAGAUUUUCUCUCAAGACAAUUAGGAGCUAGUUGGAGGUUUCCAUCUGAUAAACAACUCAUUACUCUCUUUUUUAUAGCAAUUUUAUUACAUUUUCAGAAAUCUAUCCAACAAAAACACAAAAUUCAACAAAAACGACAAGGAGGACGACGCGAUGAAGCAAGAAACAAGAUAUCUCAUAAACACAAAAAUGUUUUGCUUCAAAUCAAUGUAGUAGGAAUUACUGAAAGUAUAAGCGUAGUUUUGGUCACAAAUCAUUUAUGUAUUUCAAACGAUAAAAUUUCCUACUAUCCAAAUUUCUAUCAUCCAAAUCCCUUAUCUUUAGACGGAAUCAUUGUCGAUCGGCCGGUACUCACGUAGGGGGAUGAUGCCAAGACAUUGAUAACUUUACAGGCAGCUCGAUGGGAAAGCUAGGAAUGUGUUUGGCCACCAUGUUGAUUUCCAGUUCUUAAUUUUGAAAUCAAGCGUUGAAUUCUUGAUAGCUUAUACAAUCCUUCCAUGAUUGGAUAGAGUGAUUUAUUCGAUUGACUAUAUCAAGGAACAACAUAUAAAAUUGUUCUUCAUCAAAAACAACAUAUAAAAUUGUUGAAAUUUAGUGUUCUUUAAGAAAAUGGAAAAUUAUGAGACGACUAAUUUGGCUUUUCCUGCUAAUUGGAAAUGUUCAAAACUAUUUUAAACAGGUUGGACAUUUUCCUAUGGUUUGAAUUUCAUUUUCUUUUCAAGCUUCGUUUGUCACAACAUAUGUCAGAUACCAGUCCAAUAGUAUUUUAUUAACUGACUUAACUUAAUUCACACCUCAUAAGACGUAGCGAGGAUCCGUUAUUUUUUUUUAGGAGGAUCCCUUUUGUUUAGAAAUUAAAAGAAAAAAAUUUAAAUGUUGGAGUUACGAUUUAAUAUCCCUUAAUUUUAAGGCUAUAAGAUUUUUUAUUUUUUUUUUGACCAAGACGGAAAGCUUAUAUUACUCAAAGUCUAAGAUUAGAAAUAGAGGCUAAAUCAGUGUUCACCUGCUCAGUAACUGACCAAGAGAUUUAUGGUCAAUCAUUGUUAGAUCAUUCAAGGGUUGAAAACAAAAUAACUCUACUUAAAAAUAAUUUUCUCCACCAUUGAAUUUACAUCCAACUGUGACUGAUUAUAAAUCUCUUGGUCAGUUAGUGACCAGGUGAUCAUGACUGGAAGCUAAACAACCUUCAAGUUCCAAUGAAAUAAAACCAUCCCACACCACCUAUAAGAAAUGUCUAAAUUGAGAGACUCUCAAAAAACACAAUAAAAAAAAAUAAAAAAAAGAACAAGGAUGAACAGUAAGAUCUCGAUGGAACUUGAAGAAACUUGUACUAUAGUAUGAGACAAUCUGACUCCAGAACAAGAGGAGACAGAUGAAACUCUUUAGCUAAGUUUAGUUGCCUGACCUGCUGCAUGCAGCUUCCACAAUAUGUAUCAGCUAGGAGAAUAAACAGGCUCAAUUCGAAAACAAACACCUCCCACUAUCCACCAAAUUCCACCACAAUAUAUAUCAGCUCUGGAUUAAACGUCUAGAAUGUGCUAAUUUAAUUAACCAUACAUAUACACGAAUACAUACAUAUUAUUAUUCAUUGAAAACUUAAACAUUCUCAUACUGGGUUUUACAAACCUUCAAAAUUGAAGUUUCGUGACAUAUGGAAGUGAUAAAAUACAAAACUGUGGUCUUAAGCUUGUUUGAGUUAUCUGAACUACGAUAGGACUGAUUUUUCAUAAAACCCUGCAAUAUAUGUUUCCAGAAUAGAAGGAACCUGUACCUAGCUGCAACAAUGAAUGAGGGCAUGUCCACCAUUGUCGCCUUAUGCAAACAUUUUAACUGUCAUUUUGUGAUAUACUAAUCGAAGAACCCCAUGUCUUUCUUGGAGUUGAGCACUCUUCAAGUCCAGUUUUUUAUUUCAUUAUACAGAAGUGGUACCCUAUUAAUGGUUUGUUAAUAUAUCAUUAUUGACUUUGCAGCUUCAAUAAGACAUUCUUGGGUUGAAGAUUUUAUGUAGAUUUUAUGUCAAUAUAAUACACUAUAUAGUAUUAUAUAUAGUACAUUCUCAAUUUCAAUAAUAAUUAAGUUCAUAACAGAUCAAAAACGGCCUGAACUUAGCCUCCUUUCUAAUAUUAGUUGUUUUUUUUUCUUUUUCCUUUUAAAGGAGGAGGUCAAUCCAUUAAGAUAGUAAAAGUUACAUGAAAAUUAUUGAGUUAUCCAUAGAAAGCCUUAAUUAAUUGGUCUAAAAACAUGACAGAACAAUGCAUAUGCAACCUAAUAUGAACCUAGUACAAAAUUAAACCAAAGAAACCCAAAAGUGAUUUCAUGAGAUGCUAAAGAAGGAACUAGAACGAAACCAAACACUUCCUCAACUUAUUCAACGACCUAGAGGGUACUUUAUGAAAAUUGUAAUACCCUAGAUUUUCAUAUCAUUUUUCCUUGUAUUAUUCCUUUAAUUAAUGAAGGAUUAUUUAUGAAAAUUCUUGGGUUUUAUGCGAACUUGAAGUUUUGGGAGUUUAUUUAAAGUGCAUUGCCCCUUAAGAGGCCAAAAGUUGACUUUCUUUUCCGUAGGUUAUCUUCGAGAACUUUCUUCACGAAAGUUGUAGAGCUUGUCAAUACGAGUUCGUAGACACGCGACACGCUUAAAUCAGAAGUUGUGAGAGAAAGUUGUGGUCAGAGGAAGUUUGUUUCCGGGUUUGGAAUUAGUUUAAGUAGGAAAAUGUGGGGGAGUGUUAAUUAGAAACCCUAAUUCAGUUUUCUCUCCUUUUUCUCUCUCUCUCUCUCCUCCCACCCGAGCUCCCCCGAACUCCACCCUUCUUCAACCGAGUUCUCCCUCCUCCGGCCACUAAACCGGACGCCGCCGGUUCCUUUCAACUCCCACAGCAGCCCUCUCCAUUUCUGGAGCAGUUCCGGCCACGGUCCCGCCGCCUGGAAGCCGCCACGAAGCGGCGGAGCAGCAGCUGUCCAGCCGGAAAACAAGUGAUUUCGACGCCGUUUCCGGCCAAGUAUAGGUGAGUCUUGAUCCUCUCCUUCCCCUGGUAGUGUUUAGGCAUGGAUUGAAGCAAGUUUUUAAGGUUUUGAGGUCCGGUUUUGCNNNNNNNNNNNNNNNNNNNNNNNNNNNNNNNNNNNNNNNNNNNNNNNNNNNNNNNNNNNNNNNNNNNNNNNNNNNNNNNNNNNNNNNNNNNNNNNNNNNNNNNNNNNNNNNNNNNNNNNNNNNNNNNNNNNNNNNNNNNNNNNNNNNNNNNNNNNNNNNNNNNNNNNNNNNNNNNNNNNNNNNNNNNNNNNNNNNNNNNNNNNNNNNNNNNNNNNNNNNNNNNNNNNNNNNNNNNNNNNNNNNNNNNNNNNNNNNNNNNNNNNNNNNNNNNNNNNNNNNNNNNNNNNNNNNNNNNNNNNNNNNNNNNNNNNNNNNNNNNNNNNNNNNNNNNNNNNNNNNNNNNNNNNNNNNNNNNNNNNNNNNNNNNNNNNNNNNNNNNNNNNNNNNNNNNNNNNNNNNNNNNNNNNNNNNNNNNNNNNNNNNNNNNNNNNNNNNNNNNNNNNNNNNNNNNNNNNNNNNNNNNNNNNNNNNNNNNNNNNNNNNNNNNNNNNNNNNNNNNNNNNNNNNNNNNNNNNNNNNNNNNNNNNNNNNNNNNNNNNNNNNNNNNNNNNNNNNNNNNNNNNNNNNNNNNNNNNAGGGUAUUGUGUUAGCCUAUAGUAUUUUAGUUACUAAGGUUUUAAUUGUGUGUUUUUAGGUGGUGGUGAAGUUGUGUUUCGCUUGCUAAAUUGGUUGUGGAAAUUGCAGUUGGAUACUUAUGUGAGUAAAUCUCACCAAGGUUCACUUUUGAACCUAAUGAUAUAAUGAUAAUGAUGAUGAUGGUGGUUUUAUUAUUAUUCUUUUAAUUGUUUUUUUUAAAAUAUAUGAGCUUGAUCGCCAACGGCUCAUAGGUAAGAUAAAAAAAACAAGUCUUCUUUAUAUUGUGACGUUGAGAAUAAUAAUGUGAGAUAUAUCAUGUUGUUGACGAUAAUAAUUGUGAUAAUGUGUUGUGAGGUCAUUGUUGUGAAAUUUAUUAUGAUUGUUGGAUAAAUAGCCAAACCGGGUUCCAAGCCCUUUUUGGGUGAUUGGGUGCGGUUAAGAUGCUAUUUAUCAUUUUUGUGUUUGAUAUUAGAUAGUCAAACCGGGUUCCAAGCCUUUGGCCGAGUGAUUGGUUGCGGUUAGGAAUAGAGCUCUAGUCCGUCUGUCAGUGUAGGUCAUGGGAGAUACUGUAUGGUAUCUGGGACCCAUGGGUACACAUAGUGUUGUUGUAGGUCAUGAGAGGUAUUUUAUUAAAUAUUUGGGACUCAUGGGUACAUCUCUUGGGUAAUGUGUUUGAUGUGUGGUUUGAAAUUAUUGAUCCAAUUUCUCUUGUGAAUAUUGGAUGUGAUAAAUGUUGUGUUGUUUUUGAGUUUACUCAUACGAGCUUUUUAGUUUACCGGGUGUGUUGUUUACAACCCGGUGCACCGUUUCUUGGUGUAGGGGUUAGACUUGCAGGUGAGGAUCAGCAGGGUUGAGAUGGAGGCGUAGUGGCAGGGUUUUUUGUUGGGUUUUGGGUGUGUCUUUGUAUAUUCUUUUAUAUACACGGGGAUAGGAAUUAUUAAACUCAUGUGAGCGUUUCCUUUCUUGUUCUCAAGUUAUGUAAANNNNNNNNNNNNNNNNNNNNNNNNNNNNNNNNNNNNNNNNNNNNNNNNNNNNNNNNNNNNNNNNNNNNNNNNNNNNNNNNNNNNNNNNNNNNNNNNNNNNNNNNNNNNNNNNNNNNNNNNNNNNNNNNNNNNNNNNNNNNNNNNNNNNNNNNNNNNNNNNNNNNNNNNNNNNNNNNNNNNNNNNNNNNNNNNNNNNNNNNNNNNNNNNNNNNNNNNNNNNNNNNNNNNNNNNNNNNNNNNNNNNNNNNNNNNNNNNNNNNNNNNNNNNNNNNNNNNNNNNNNNNNNNNNNNNNNNNNNNNNNNNNNNNNNNNNNNNNNNNNNNNNNNNNNNNNNNNNNNNNNNNNNNNNNNNNNNNNNNNNNNNNNNNNNNNNNNNNNNNNNNNNNNNNNNNNNNNNNNNNNNNNNNNNNNNNNNNNNNNNNNNNNNNNNNNNNNNNNNNNNNNNNNNNNNNNNNNNNNNNNNNNNNNNNNNNNNNNNNNNNNNNNNNNNNNNNNNNNNNNNNNNNNNNNNNNNNNNNNNNNNNNNNNNNNNNNNNNNNNNNNNNNNNNNNNNNNNNNNNNNNNNNNNNNNNNNNNNNNNNNNNNNNNNNNNNNNNNNNNNNNNNNNNNNNNNNNNNNNNNNNNNNNNNNNNNNNNNNNNNNNNNNNNNNNNNNNNNNNNNNNNNNNNNNNNNNNNNNNNNNNNNNNNNNNNNNNNNNNNNNNNNNNNNNNNNNNNNNNNNNNNNNNNNNNNNNNNNNNNNNNNNNNNNNNNNNNNNNNNNNNNNNNNNNNNNNNNNNNNNNNNNNNNNNNNNNNNNNNNNNNNNNNNNNNNNNNNNNNNNNNNNNNNNNNNNNNNNNNNNNNNNNNNNNNNNNNNNNNNNNNNGGGUAUGUGAGGGGUUAGGUGUCGCCUCUAGGUUAAUAGGAUGUCAGACUAGAGAGUACUCUGUUAGUGGAAUUUUAAAUCUUGGUGUUCCAUCUUGAGUUAGUGCCUUGGUUAAUUAAUGUCGCAUUUGACUUAUACUUUGGUUUAAGUUUUAUGCAUGAGUUAACCAAGGUUUGCUUGAUUCUUAGGUGAUGGAUCCUCCGCGAGGGAGAGCUAGAGGCCGAGGUAGGGCCAGAGGGGCCGGUAGAGCCAGAGGGGCAGGUGGGGCCAGAGGCAGAGGUAGGGCUCCACCUGUGGAUGACUUCUUUGAGGACGAGGUAGUGUUGAUCGUCCCAUACACUUCGAUUACCCCUACGUGCCUCUGACCGGGCACAUACUGCUGCAAUUUUCCUUCUUUCAGUCAGCCCUCAACUGCUCUCUUUAGCUCGAUGAUGUUAUUUAUUUGGUGACUUGCCUCCCCGUGGUACCCAUAAAAUUUUCCUGUGUUUUCUUUGGUGAGCCUCGAGGACUCGGGGAACUUCCUAGCAGGGGGAGGUGGAAUGACAGACUUCUUCUCAUUCCAUAUUGCCUCGUAGAUGGCGUUGAGCGCUGAGAACUGCUCUUUUGCUGCCGGCGCCAUCCUUAUAUACUCGGUAUCCCGGUAGGGGCCCUUUGCCUUCCCUUGCGCGUUAUACUGCUUCCCUGCCUUCCUCCCGUUCCUCUCUUUAUGCCUCUUUCCAGAAGAGUACGAGUUCGGCUCUUUCUCUCCCAUCCAGGCCCUGACCUCCUAGACCACUUGCACCGGGGAACCCCUCCAUUCGACCUUCCUUUUCCCGGUCGAGGUCCCCCCAUAAGUGUCAUGAUUUGCCUGGGCAUGCCGGACCGCCAUUUCCAUAAGCUCGUCGUAGUCUUACGGAUUUUCGAUUUUUACUGCAUAACUGAACUUCCCGGGAAGCAACCCUUGAAUGAACGCCUCCUCUGUAACCUUUUUGUCAAAGUUCCUAACUCUAGAUGUAGCUCCUUGCCAGCGGUUCACAAAAGCUUUCAACCCCUCUCCCCUAUCUUGCUGCACUUUGAACAAUUGGGCUGUGUUCUGCCCGUCCAUCCGUAGAAUGAACCUAUUGACAAUAACAUGUCUGCUAAUUUUCGGAAGCAAUCGAUCGAGUUCAACGGGAGCUCGUAGAACCAACUGAGCGCUUCCCUUGCUAAAGUUUUCUAAAACAUGUUGCAGCAUAUUACAUCCGAGUAUCCUUUACCAUUCGUGUGAGACUUGAAGCUAUCAAGGAAAAAAUGGGGGUCCAAAUCCCCGUUGUAGCUAAGCUUCAACGGCUUGGUUGUGUUCGAUCAGACGGACUGAGUGAUUGCUAUUGUGAACGGUCCCCCCCUUUUUUCGAAACUCACGCGGGGCGGAUUACGAGUCCCCCUUCUCUCAGCGUCCGAGAUUCUGUCUGCCAAACUCGCCACGCUAUCCUAGAUAGCUCUUACAGUUUCUUCCAUCUCUCCCGGCCUUCUAACUUGGAUUUCCAAGAUUGGUUCGGGUAAGGGAGGCGGUCCCUCAUCUCGCAUUUCAUUUGGGAACAAAUUUGUCCCGAUAUGCACGGUCCUACGGUUCGUACCCACCGGAGCGCCCGUCUGCCGAGAUGUGGCCGCCCGAUCCAAUUCCGUCGCACGAUCCAACGCCAUGAGCGUGACGUUAUCCUUUUCUAAUAUGUGCUCCCUCCCGGAGGCUUCCUCUCGAUCCCUUACACUUUGUCGCUCCGGUCGAGUGAUUUGGGUCCUCAUAUCUUCCAACAUCUCAGCUACCUCUUAGGGAUUGAGGUCUCGCGGCACAUACUCUGGUGUUUCAUCGCGCGGAGCUCUUCUCGUGAUUCUUGAACUUCCCCCUGCUGUCUCUGUGGUCCUUCCGUAUAUCAUCUCCCUCUGCUCUUCCCGUCCCGUAUCCUGCUCAUGUUGCUCGGAUAACUCAGUCAUCGAGUCACGCUGGCUUUUUGUAAAAUUUCUCACAGAGGGCGCCAAAUGUUUUCGUACAAUCCCGGACAGGGUUGCAGAAGCUGAUGGGGUGCCUGGUAGGAGACUGGCUAUCUUCCCGCUGACCUCUAAACAAAAGGAUGACCGGGGGCUUCCGGUCUUUCCUCCUCCGAUGGUUAAGUCAGUAUAUGCUAAUAGAAUGUAAUUAUUAGGGUAGUUAUGAUACCUGACAAGCUGGUGGUUGGGCCAUAUUUAUGGCCCAUAGUGGGUUCUCUUUACUUGAAACCCGAUGUGGGACUUCCACCUUUGUUUGUUGUUUCAAGUGUAGACUUCCCUAUGCCUUCUGCAGUCUUUCCAAGCCUAGCGUAACCACCAAGGAUGGGCCUGGCCCACCCUACUUAUGGGCGGGAACCUCGGGGCGGCCUCGGCUGUGGUGGAAUGUCUGCUGGUUUACGGACUUGGGAGAUUGUUUCAUGCAUAACCGACUACAGUCCCAAAAUUACUGCAAAAAAAAAAACAAAACAAAAAACCAAAAAUUUGAUGGGACUGGGAAGACGGGAGAUGGCGCGAGCAACGACGUGGGUGACGGGCAACAGGCAAUGAUGACAGACAAAGCAAUAAAGAACCAAGGAUUGAGAGGAAUGACCUAGGGUAGACGUGUUGCAGGUCAAUUAUUUUUAAUCUUUUAUGUCAUUUAAUUUAUUUUUUUUGUCUGCUUAGGUGAACUUCAUGGUAGUUUCAUUUUGGUUGCUUUCGGGAUACCUAGCUUAACUUAUUUUAUCAUUAUUCUUGCGGCCAAAUCAUGUUUGUAAUUACCAUUUUUUUGUUGGUUAUAAACUUGACCAAAUAUAAUUAAUUCAGCACCACCUCAGUCCCGCACUCUCAUGAAAAAAGAGUCAUGAGUGUGCAAACCCUAACCAAACAGCACUACACGUGGAGACCUCACAUUUUCACCUGGCAGCUGCGCUCCAACCAGUCCAGCACUCCAGGCUAUAUAUGAACCAAGACCUAAACCCUCUUCCAUAGACACAUUCCAGUCUACAGUUUUACAGUCAAUUUCAGUGAUCUUCAUCUUUCAUCUCUAAGUACGUCGUUUCUAACCCUAAAUCACUCUUGAAUAGAUUUCAAACUCACAUCGCAAGUAUCUUUUUUCUAAUUUCCAUUUUCUUUUCCAAUUUAAUUUUGUUCAGAUCUAAAAAUCUUAGGCUAGUUUGAUAGGGUUUUGCAUAUGCAUGUUACAGCUCAAAAUUGACGGAAUAGAGAACUGACCGGCAGUAGAAUUACGAACCCAGGAGUUGUUGGUCAUCGGGAAAACAUAAAUUUUUCUGAGAAUUUUGAAGAAAGAGAACCUAGUGAUCAUGAGAUCCAUAAGUGAGUUCUCUUUCUUCAAAUGAGUUAGCUAUGGAUGAUAAUAUUAUACGACUGUUUCUAGCUGUUAUUUUUAUUUCUUUUCAAUUUGUUCUUAGUCAUUUCUUCGAUGUGAUUAUGAUUGUUGUUUCCCCUCAGCUUUGUGGGAGUGCCUGCGAAUUCAAGAAGUGAAAUAGCGGAUGGAUCGGAGGUCAAUUAGGUUUAAACUCCAGAGAGGAAUUACAGAUAAAAAAUAUAUAUUGGGGAUAGAGAUUUGAAGAACAGGGGCUUAAGAAAACUUAACCUAUCUUAAUUAUUCACCUGCAAUAUUUGUGUUCAAGAUUCUUCUUGUGUUUCAUUUAUAAUCCGAAGGUUGAAAUGGGAUUAAAGUCAUUAAAGUGAUCGAGUACGUUUAAUAUUAACUUACAUUUUAAUCCUUAAUUUUUCCGGUAAUUUGAUAGCAGAUGGACAGCAGUACUUCCCAAAUUGAGAUAGACAUGAGGAUACCUCAAGAAGCAACAACAUCUCAGCAAGUGAAUAUGGGGUCAAAUGUCCAGGUUGCAAGCAAUAUUUCCAGAGCCAGUGAUCUACUCAUGGCAGUAACUUCAAGCGCUGAAGUCAACAGAAUGAAAAUCAGCGAGUUAGCUUCGGAUGCAAUGGAAGUGCUAACUAAAUUGGCCCUAGCUCAAGAACCUCUAUGGCAGUGUAACAUAGAGAGCAAUACUGAAUUUCUUAGUGAUAUCGAGUAUCUGAGGGAAUUCGGACAUAUAAGUGCCUCACUGAUAGAAAUAAUUAAAAUGGUUGAGGUGGGAGACUCUCAAUCUGAGCUGCCGAUUAACAAUUCUGAAUUUUUAAUGGAAAGUGAAUACAGGCCAGUGUUGGCAACAAAUCAACCUGGAAAACCAGUUAGUUCAGAAUCGUCACGAGCUAUUGAAUAUGUCAAAAUGAAAGCAUUCAAUCUUGUUCAAUUGCUAAUGGAUUUGGUAGGUUGUUUUUCGAUUAAGCUUAUUAAACCUAAAUAUUUGUUCUUGCAGCUGAAAAGUUUGAAUAAGAAACAUGCAUGAGAUUAAUACUGACUGGCUAUAUUAUGUUUUUGUUCAGGAGCAAUGGCUACUGGUGUUUCCUAAUAUUGUAUCUAGAGCAAAAUUAGUGGGAGUAUUAUCAUCAACAAGAGUUGAGGGCAACUAUGAUGGAACUCUGCAAGUGGUAAUCAAAAUGGCCCCUAUUUGUGGUAAUAGGGUUUUAUUUCAUCUUAGUGUAAAGUCUUGCAUACUUUAUUUUCAUCAGACAAAGUUUUCACCACAAACGAUUAUUGUGAUUUUACGAUUGCUAGUUUCCAGAAAGAAUCUAAAGGAACUAGCUACCAUAUUCAUCAGUACACAUAUAUUUGUAUCAUUCAUUGGAGGACUCACUGUCAUGAUGAUAUGAGGGUGCUAGAUUGAUAUUAGUAUUUUCGAAGAACCAAGACUAUUAAAAGUAUAUACUCAGUAAUAUUCAUCAUGGCAUUUUGCAGAUGACAGCUGAGUUUCAUGCACCCACACCACUUAUUCCUGCUAGAGCAAGUUAUUUUGCACGGUACAGUAAACAACUGGAUAGUGGAAUGUGGGUUGUUGUUGAUGCAUCCUUGGAGAAAUUGUUUCAGCUUCCAUCUACUAACGUUCGAAGACAACCGUCAGGAUGUUUAAUUCAGGAAAUGCCAAAUGGAUGCUCUAAGGUAACAAAUUGAGGAAUUUCCCUACAUGAUUAUUUGAUUGAGAAAAAGCUAUAUUCAAUCUUCGAUAAAUUUCUGUUCAUGUACUGCUCGUAGGUCAUAUGGGUGGAGCAUGCUGAAGUGGAUAACAGAAUGGUUCACAAUAUGUUUGAGCCACUGGUCAGUUCAGGUCUUGCAUUUAGCGCAAGGCGUUGGGUUUCCACUUUAGUUCGUCAAUGUGAAUGGUUGGCAACUUUGAAUUCCACAAGCCCUCCUACAUCUGAUCGUGGUAAGUAAUUUGGCAGUUCAUUUGACUGUUCCUUGCACUUUGACUAAAACUUAGAGCCAAAUGAAAAGCUGAAAGCUAAAAUCGAAAAGGUUACCAAAAAUUCUUUUUUAAAUGUCAUAGCUGUAUGUCGAGUCAAAUAGAUAUACGUUUUUCUAAUUUAAAAAAUGCUAGGUGAAACACAUUUUUGAGUAUUGCCGGUAAUCUAUGACGUAUCACAUUUACACUUCAAACCUGCUAUAUAAACUUUCAGUAUGUGGAGUAGCUAACUAGCUACAUCAUAAUAACUAGCUGUCACAUAGAAACUAUUGGCUUGACUGGGAUAUUUGAUCUGAUUCUUGAAAAUUAUUCAUCGUCUUUAACUAGCCUAUGAGCAUAUGAUAUCAGAACAUUGCUUAACUUCUAUCGGGUUUCAGACAGUCAUCUGUAAACGUCUUCAUUCUGAAACUUCAACUACAUUAGAUUUUCAUAAUUGAUACUUACAGUACUAAUGAACUUUUAUCUUUUUCUUCUGAAAAGUGUUCAUAUCGCAAGCUGGAAGAAAAAGCUUGUUGAAGCUUACGGAGAGGAUGAUGAGAAGUUUUGUUGCUGAUAUUAGUGCUUCUACCGAAAACAAAUGGAGGACAUUACCUGUAUUUGGUGCCGAAGAUGUAAAGGUCACAACUAUAACUAACUUGAAUGAUAUUGGAAAGCCUCCAGGUACCACCUUAUCAUUCGCAACUUCUGUCCAUCUUCCAGUUCCAAGAACUCAAAUAUACAAUCUGCUUCGUGAUGGUGAAUCUCGAUAUAUGGUAUGGACAGUACAAUUAAGGUUGACAUCAAAUUAAUAAUAAUAGAUAAGCAUACAAAUUAAUCCUUGAUCAAAUUGGAAAGCAUUGAAUUUCUUGUAGCCAAAUAUAUCACUAAUAAUAGUAGAUAAGGAUAAUUUAAAUCCUCUAUGAUAGAUUUUCUAGGUAGAAGUAGGAUUAUAGAAAGAUAUCACUACUACAGAUUUGUCAACACACAACGGUGUGGAACACCGUUGUGUGACUAUAAGUUUUCUGUUGUAUAUCUCGGGCUUGUCUGAUUGAAUCUUCAGACAAGUGUGAAAAUCACCGUUGUGUGAUCACAUUUUGCUCAACAGUUCAAUACUUUCGUUGUAUAAGUCGCUGCGCAGAUCGAUGUCAUGCACGGCAUCAACAAGUCCACUCAGACAACAAAUAAUAAAACAUUUUCGUUGUAUUUUUACCCUUUCAGACAACUGUUGGUUUUCAUUUCUACUGUUAUGUGUUUUUCAGUAAGCUACAACGUUUUAUUCCCUAUCUUUAUUGUUGUGUGACGUUGAAUAAUCUACAACUGAAAUAUUUGGACCGUUGUAUCACACAAUAGAUAUAUAUAGCAUUCUACUUUCUUGUUUGAUGAGAAUCAUACAACAGUUGCAUUUUCAUGUGGACAGACUUUGUUGAUCAAGUUUUACACACACAAGCAUCACGAAAGAAACUACUGCACAAAUUGACUGAUACCAUAAAACAUUGCAUUUCAGCUUCCAUAUAUAUCAUUCAAGCUUCCACAAACAACAUUACAGUUGAAUAAUAAACUGAAAACAAGCAACUAGUUAAGCUCCUAGAUAGUCUUACAUGUCCAAAAGCAUUCCAACAUGAGAAAUGCACAAAGUACGUACUACCAUAUAGCUGUUCCGAAUAUAUAGAAACACCAAGUUCAAAAGCAAAGUACUACCACAUACAUAUAGAAAGCACCAAGUUCACCAAAAUAGACCAGAUCAUGCACCCUACAGGUAUUUGCUGAUGAUGAACGCCCACUCAUUCCUUAACACAUCCAAAUCAUCUUGGGUGUAGACAAGUUUGUUUCUCCUGUCCCACUGAAAAACAUAAUGUUAAAGUUAGACAUGAACAUGACAUUAUCCCGAAAAUAUUAUAUUUCCUCAUUUAAUACAACAAUCAAAUAGUUUGAUGAGCAUAUUUCCUAACGGCUAAUUUCUAAUGGCUUCUUGAUUGAAACAUCAUCAUCUUCCAAAUUGAUUGAAACAUGAUUUUUAGUAGAUGGUUUAGAUGCUUCAAUAUUUUCAUGUUCAAUCAUCCAUUUCUGCUGAAACCUAAGUUCUGCGCAACAAUGGUCAAGUGCAAAAGUAUGCUUUUUUUUAUCUUUAUAAACAUCUUUUGCUUCCAGAACCUGCAUUAUAUAAAUAUACAACAACACAAAUUUAACUAUAUACUAAAGUAUGGUUUACUGUUCAUAAUCACUGUUCACAUCACAUGAAUAGUGCACGGACGAUUUUGCCCUUACUUUUGGUGGGUGUGAUUCCGUUUAUGCCCUCUAUUUCUAAAAAACCACGAAAUUACCAUUAACCCUAAAUAUAUGAUUGUCUUCUAUAUAAUUAGUUGUGGGUUGGGAAGUAAUUUUUGAACUCUUAUCUUCAUUACCGUGUCUCAAUUUUUUAUUUUUUUCAUAGAUCUCACAAAAGGUAUUGUUAUCAAAGUCAAUCUAAAAUAGGGUAGUGGUAUCAUAGACCAAGGUUGAGCAAGUUUAUUUUCUUAAUUAUUGAGGUGAAACAAUUUUGGUUCUAUUUUAGCAACGGAAUAUUAAUUGAACUACAUACAUCUUUGAUUUGGCCAAAGAAAUUAUCUGGUUGCAAAUCAACUCCUAAUUAACAAAACGUAUUAAGUUAAUUUAAAUAUCGUGUGAUGAAAUGCUAUGUUAUAUAUACUAAUGCAAUAUAUUUGGUUUUUGUUUUGUUUUGUUUACUUUUAAUUUACUUGGUUUCUCAUCUUUGGUUUUAGUUUUGUUUACUUUCAAUUGAGUUGGUUCCUCAUUUUUGGUUUGGUUUUUAUGUCAGGUUCUCAUCUUUGACAUUUUGAGAUAAGUCUCUUUAGGAGCUUGAUAUAGAUAUUCUUUUCAGUUAAUUAAUCACUUGCUUUAUCUGUGUGUGUGUGUGUGUUUUUUUUUUUUCUUUUCUUUUCCUUCUAUAGUAUGAAAUAGAUCUUUAGAGUUAGUCUUUUUUUUUUUUCCUAUCUUUAGUUUCCUAUAAAUCAAGUUUUCUAAAAUUACGUUUUUGGUGAAAAACAGUUAAACAAAUAGGAGCAUUUUGUACAGUCAAAACUGGAGCUAUAUUUUUGAUUAUACUGCUCCAAAUAGGUUGUUUUGCUUUGUGCACUUACAAGACAUUUAUUAUUUUGGGUAGGACACAACACUAGAUGUUUUGUUAUGUAGUGUUGUUGCUUUUGUAAUAGCUCCAUUAUUAGAAUCAUAUGUAUAUGUGAUAUACAAUGUAUUGAAGUUCUAUGAAAUACAUAUCAAAAACUUUUCCAUCAAUCAACUGAAUCAUUAACUAGCUUUAUAAAUAUACACCGCGCCAAGGCGCGGGUAUCAACUCUAGUAUAUAAAUCACACAAAACAAGUACUUGCUCAUAUACAUACAAUAUAAAAAAGUGCUGAUAUACAAGACUGCAUUGCUGUCCUCAAGACAUGUACUUGCUAAGCUAUGCUUAAACUGAGCUGUAACUUUAAAAAAAAAAAUGCAACUGAGCUGUAACUUUGGAAAAUCAUAACUAAUUUUAGAAAACUUAUUUUCAAGAGAUUCCAGUUCUAAAACGAUCAUUAAGGUCUCUACUCAAACUUUCAUGAAGACACCAAGUUCAAACAACUAACCAAUUUAUACAGUUUUCUGAAAGAAGGUAACUGGUCAAAAUCUCAGAAACACUGAUCUGCAGAAUUUCCUGAUGCAGACCCUAAACUUUGAAAAAUCAUAACUUAAUCUACAAAAAUCGUUUUCAAGUGAUUCAAAAUCUGGAAUAUUGAACCUUAAGAUGUCUACUACAAAUCUCUUGAAGAAACCAACUUCAAAUUCCAAAUGAAAAUUAUACUGUUUUCAAACGAAAGCUAACUGAUGCAGAAUUUCAGAAACAAUGUUUCAGAUUUGCAGGUUUUGUUCUUGCCUUAAGUUUAAACACACAGACCUAACUCUAAAAGCUGGAGAAUAAUGAAACCAAACAAAGGCCUUGGAAUUGACUGANNNNNNNNNNNNNNNNNNNNCUUUUUUUGGUUACAAGUAAUAGAGAGACAUCAUUUUGCUCUUCUAUAGAUUUCUAUGGUUACUGGAUGGAGGAGAAAAUAAGAAGAACGAACUCAAAGAGGAGUCAUAAAGGUAUAAUAUAAGAGACUAACAUGAUCACACAUGAUACCAUAAGAGCAAUCAAGAGAACAACAUAAAAGGACAGCCAGUAAACAAGAUUCUAGCAAAACAUGGUCUAAAUAAAGCUACUGCACACUGAUAACUAGAAGACAUUUAGCUACAUAACUGAAUUCUUAAUCAAUACACAGGGCCACAAUGAGGCUGCAGCAAUACGAACUAAUAAAUGAAUUCUUUUUUGGUUCUUUACUAAUGACGAGAACAGCAAGCUGACACAAGUUCUUAAGGACUCUUUUGGUAAUCACUCUACUUCAGUAAACUCCAGUAACUCCCUUCAUCUUAAUCAAUACACAUCCCUCAUUUCAUCCUACACAACACCAACUAUUGUACACACUCAUCGAAGCACCGUUUACUCAAUCCUCUAACUCCUCCCCAAGAAUCACAAUCAAUUUUAUUUCCACAAUCAUAAUUAUUGAAAUAGAACUAAACACUUAUCAAAAUCUCAAAAUGUAAUCAAACAGCAACCACCAUUGAAAAUGCACAAUUAAGAAAACUGAUUUAACAUAUCUUUGGACAAUGGACUCCCCUAAAGUUACUGCCCAUCUCGAAUACAACCUAGACUGAAGACUUACAUGCCAUGGCACCCCUAAAGGCAGCUAAACUUAUAAAACAGAACCACUAAAGAGCUGUAAUUGUGAAUCAAAUAUCAAUAGUGUAUGACAUCUCUACAAUGUUAAGAGACCUGAUUUAACCAUUUAAAUGCAUCUUCAAGCAUAUCCUAUAGCUCCAUGAAAGGAGUCUUGGGACUUGGUGGACCAUAAUGCAUUGGUGAACAAAUUCCAGUUUAGUCUGCUCAGCAAGUUUUAGGAUUACACUACCUAUGAAAUGCAAUUGAGUCUCCUCACUAAUCUAAAAUAGUUAAUUGUCAUGUUGAUCCUCACAAAACUGACUGCAAAGAAUGAAGUGAUUUUGCUUGUACAAAAUUAACCUAUAACAUACAACACAUAAUGCUAAUAAAUGUCCACAUAAGUGCAUAACAUACAAAUUGGUAGCUCAUUGUUAUAUCAAUCCUCACAAGACUAACUGCAAACAAUCAACUUUGCAUGUAUGAAAAGCUAACUAGAACAAAUUCUGCCCUGCAUCACCAUUACUAUUUUACAGAAAUCUUUCUAAAUGCAUUCCAAAGCACCAAGUGCUUCAUACAAUUAGGAAUUCAUAUAUAUAUGAGAUUUAGUGACACUCAAUUCGAGGUUCAAAGUAAAAAAGUAACUUUUUUACCUCGUUUUUCCAACUCAAACAUGCGGUAGCCAGAAACUCCAACCUAGGAUGACAUAUAUAAAAAUUAGUUCAUAGAGAUUAGGUAGAGUAAUGAUAACAACUUAUUGAAGUAAAUCUUCUGAUACUUGGAAGUUGGAAUUGAUACCAAUACCAACAUGUACAUAUGAAUCAUCUAACCUGGUCUUCGGAAAUCCUGGACAUGUCAUUUUGGUCUCAAGUCCUGGACAUGUACGUAUGGAUGCAUUUUGCAAGGGAAAUAAGUUAUGUUCCAACCCAAACUUCAAUUCCUCUUUAUUGCCAUUCCCCACAACAACCAUUUCAACACCUAAGGCACCAAACUAUUAGUAGCCAAUCUCUAACCCCAAUUGUAAUCAAAAUCGAACAUGCUCUAAGCCUUACCAUGAUUAAUUCCUUGCAUGACCAAAUCAGCAGCUCUCUUCCUCUCCAAAACUUGUUGUUGUAGAUCCCCAAAUCUCAUGCAUAUGCCCCAAAAUCGACGAAGACACAGUACUCCACACCUCACAGAUACCAAAACAGCUGAUAAUCCAGUUCAGUACAGAGGCUUCGACUAAGAAAAGGAAGACGGGGUUACCUAUCAAAUACUGAGAGCGGCGGAGCUAGGGUGGAGCCAUGGCGGCUCUAAUCGGAACUAGAGAUCUGGACCGGCCUCGCCUCGCCGUGCACAGUUAUAAAAGAGAGAAGAGAGAUUGAAUCAUUUGAGAGAUUGAAUCGAUUUGAGAGAAGAGUGAGAAAGCUAAGUGAGCGACAGAGUUGAGAGAGAGGGCGAGAGUCUCGAUCUGUUUGAGAGUGAGAGUUGAGAGUCGAUCUGUUUGGUGGGUUUAGGGUGAAUGAAUGCGAGGGAGAGAGAGACAUCGAUAUGAAUGCGAGAGAGUGAGAGUGUGAGACUAGCGUUUAGGGUUGGUGGGUAUGUUAUUAAAUUUGUCUAACUUUUUCACACAACAGAAUAUAUACUCGGAGGGAAACUUUGGAGCCAAAACUAUUUUGACAUAGCACACCAAAUCGAUAGAGGCAAACUUUGGAGCCAAAACGACUUUGGCAUGCCACCAGAUUUUCCAGUCACAUAACAAAAUGUUUUAAACUGUUGUAUAUAUUUUCUAAACUUGCACUAGGUAUUGCCUAGUAUAAAUUGUAACAACAUCAUACAACAAAAAAAUAAAAGUCUAUUGUCCAAACAUUUUGCAUCUUGCACGACUUUCAAUUUGGUGAUGGGGGAAUCCUUCCGUCAAAAUUUUCAUAAACCAUACAACAUAAAAUUAGCAUCAUUGUUGUGUUUUGAACUCUUGAAAUAUAACCUGACAAUUUUGUGUCAUCAAACAACAAAACUUUGUAACUUUACGUUAUAUAUAACAGUUCACUUCAUCAGACAAGUAAGGAAGCCUAAAAGAUUGUCUGAUGAGUGUUGUCUGAUAACGUUUUUGUAGUAGUGUAUUUUCAUCAGGUUAUUAUCAAGUCAUACAUUACAGCCAAGUGACCUAGGUCACAAUAUCAUACAUUAAGUUACAGAGUCACUUGCAACUAAAUAUACAGAUCAUUAUUUUGGAGGAAUAUUAGGGGAUUUAUUUUUGUCAUUGAAGUAAACGUUUUGCAAUUUUUAUAUCAUUAAUAGAGAUAUGUAAAUGUAAACUGAAAUCUUUCAAGAUUUCUAUGUCAAAAAGCUGAUGAAUAUCCAUUUACAUUUGUCUAUUACAGUGGGAUAUGAUGUCACAUGAGAAAGAUACAAAGGAAAUUGCUUAUAUCGCAACUGGGGAUCAUCCAGGAAAUCGCGUUUCGAUAAUUGAAGUAGAAAAUGUAAGUCCUUAUUUAUCCACUGGAGAAGGCCAAUGUCCUUUUCUAUCAGCAAGAGUGGGACUUGACAAUUCUCAGUUUUCGUUCUUUUAACUUUGCAGGGAGCAACGAAGGAGAUUGAAAUAUUCUACUUGCAGGAGAGUUACACAGACUCAAAUGGCUCCUACGUAGUUUACGCACCAAUUGACCAGUUCGCCAUGUCUGCUCUGUUGGAUGGCUCGAACCCCGAUGAGUUUGCUAUCCUUGCAUCUGGGUUUUCCAUCCUGCCUGAUAGACCAAUGGCCAAUGAUGAAUCUGGUGGAAGUCUGCUGACUCUCGCUUUGCACAUCACAGAAGAAGGAGCAACUGAGGACUUUAUCCCUCCUCGUACUGUUCAAAAUAUACUCAACAUUAUUGCAGGAACUGUAGUCCAGAUCACUGAUGUACUAUCAAAUAAUGGAGAAAAUAGUGUUGAACCAGAGCAGUGAGUCAAGUUCCUUACUUCUGAGAUGAACCUGUGUUGUAAUUAAGAUUCAUUAGGUCUGCAGGAGGAAUAUAAUGACUUUUCAAUAGUGUAUGUGAUAUCCAAAUAAAUUAGUGUGUGUGAUGAUGUGAACGCUGACACUAAACUUGUACUACAUAACUAAUCUAACAAGGUCCUCAAAAUGAAAGUUAUUGCGUUAUUGUCUUGCUCAAGAGCUCAAGUUUUACAAAUGAAAAAAAAAAAAAAAAAAAAAGUUUUAACAAAUGGAAAGACUAUAGAGUUCUUAUAAAGUCACUAGGAAGAAAAGUUAAAGAAAAUGCACCAAGAUAAAUGUAAAAACUUGAAGAAUCAAUCACAACCAUAAUAGAACACAAACCUCUGGUAAAUCAUAGAUCCGAUCAUUAAGUUGGAGUAGUAAUUUAACCCCACGAUAGAACUAUCUUUCUUCUCGUCUUCGUCUUCAGGUGGGGGAGAAAUCUUAACCAUAUUUCUCUAAAAGCACCAGUCUCACUAUAAUUGACUAAUUGGAGAAGGAAAACAAGUGAUCUAAUCAAAUAAUUGGUGUAGGAGCGAUAAGAAUGAGAAACGAUAUACAUGACUAGUUUGCAGACAUAUCAAAUAAACCGCUCUUCAUGAGCAUUAUUUAUAGUUGAAAUAGAGGGUUCUCGAACGGUGUAUAGAAAAAAAAAGAUUGGCAGUUUCAUCGGCGAAAAUUUGGAAGACAUGCAAUGGCUGGUUUUGUAGCUUUUAGCUUAGUUAAUCAUAUAUUAAAGGAGAAAUAGAAGCAAUAGCUUAGAUAAGUGCCAACUAGCAUUUCCUGUAAUGAACAUGACAUCUCUUUCCAACAAACUGAACAAAGUAUUAGUAGAGGUUUCAAAUUUCGAAUAUUCCUCAUCCAAAGUUCUUUACUUACUUAAUAUAUAACCUUUUAAUUAGAUAAGUUUUUCUCGUUAAUUUUUUCUUUGCAUCUUUCUUUAUCUAUCGAAGAAAACAAAACAAAGCAAAACUUUGAAAGGAGUCAUCCUGCGGCAUAGUUCCAAAACUCCCAAUAAAGACCAACCGCCCUAAAUAGUACUCUUCUACCGCAUGAAGGGGCUCUUCAUUAAAGACUUCACGAUAUGAACGAGCUAGGGAAUAAAAACCGGUACCGGUAGGGAAGUCGACAAUGAGGGAAAUAUGGAUCCAGAACCACGUUGCUGCAUGCAUGGAAGAGAUGAUGAACAAGACCAGACUAGCUGGCAUGGCUUCUUCUUGAAUGUUCAUGCAAAGACAAACCCAGAGUGAAACGGAUGCUCAAAUUAAGCUCAUGAGUUGGGUAUUCCUAAUUUCCAGAGUCUAUAACUGAUUUUGUAUGUAUAUCACAGAAGGAAAGAAAAUUCUAUGUGGUGAUUUUGCUGGCUAUUGUCCAGAUAUCUCACCCUCUUGUGGUGCUUUUACCGGCUUUUGUCCAUAUAUUACACCCUCUUGUGGUGAUUGUCCUGGCUAUGUCCAGAUCUAGAUGGCCAUGCUCCUCCUUUUACUUUGUUCUUUUUUCUUGUCAAAAACUUGUGAAAUUUUCCAGACCUGAGAUUAUCAUCCCCCAUCACCCGUCCCACCUAAUAUCUCAUACUGGGAAAUUAUUAUUUGUACCCGGAACACCACCUAUCUUAUGUUCCCUUUUAAUUUCAUUACUCCAAGUGUUUUAUCCUUAUUUCUGAUUGGUGUAUUUAAUUACUUUUUUUUUCCACCCCCUGCUGGUGAGAAAUUUUUCAGUGUUACGAGAGGACCACAUGGCAGUCUGACGUGAUCCUACUUUCCAAUCGAAUUUAGACAUGUAGAUUUUCUUCACGAAAAAUUAUUUCAACUAUUUUGUCAAAGACCAUUGUAGGUUUUCUGUUGUUUUUUUAAUACUAAACCCUAAGCCCUAAACCCCAAACCCUAAACCCUAUACCCUAAACCCUAAACCUUAUACCCUAAACUCUAACCCUAAACUUUAAACCAUAUACCCUAGACCCUAGUUUGAACUUGCUAAAUACCCAUGAAUGUCAUUUCACAAAAAAUAUAAAAUAUUUGUUUAUAUUUUAGUUGUAAAAAAUCCACAUGUCUAAAUUUGAUUGGAACGUAGGACCACGUCAGACUACUACGUGGUCCUCCCGUAACAUUUAAAAAUUUCUCUCUGCUGGUCCUUACGAGAAAUUUUUCAGUGCUACGGGAGAACCACUUGGUUUGCCUAAUGGUUCUCCCUAGCCAAUAAGAAAUCGCCACGUGGUUAUUUUUUACACAUCGUUGCAUGGUUAAAAUUUACUUCAUUCAACUUAAGUAAAACCAACAAACGUCAUCCAAAAAAAAAAACUCAGAUCUCCAUUUGGCAUGCCAUACAUUGAUUUGGCCAUUUGGGGUUGAAGGUCGAUCGAAGAGAGUAAGGGCCAUUCUGGGUUUGGGGUUGAGUUAUUGUGUUUAUCAUUACUUAUUGUGUUGAUCAAAUGAGUGAUAUAUCACAAUCAUUGUCAAAGCUGAAACAUUGUGAAGGUCCUAGAGGGGGGGUGAAUAGGCCCUGACAACUUUUUGCUCUAUCUUGCACACAAGGAUAGCAAAGAUUGUGCUAUCCUGUUUGCCAAUCUUUGCUAUGAGACUAAGUUGUGUAAAUAAAAAUGCAAGUAUUGAGAGUAAAAGAUAUAACACCAGUACGUUUUUUAUACGCAGAAACCCUGCAACCAGAGAGAAAAACUGCGUGCCUCUAACUCUUGAGAGACAAACUAUAUUCCACUAUUGUAAAGACACUUCUUACAAGACUCACAACUCAGAUGAUGGCACAACACCUAACCAUACUGCCUAGUCUAACUACUAACACUCAAUUGAACUUGCUCUCUUGUCACUCAAGUGUUUUACACAUAGCACGAAUCUAAGCUUCUAUGCAGAAUUCAACUAACACAUUUAGCUAAUUCUCAAAGACAGCUUCGCCGGGGUUGUUGCAUCACCUAGAUAGAUCUCAAGGUAUGCAAAUGCACAAUGAUAUGAGUUUGAAAAGGUUUUGGUGCUCAGCUCUAAGAUUGACAAUCACAGGGAAGACUUAGAGAUAAAUGAGCAGUUAGCAAAAUACUAAACUCAAUGGAAGACAACAAACAAGACUAUUUUCAACAACCAAAGAGCAAGAGAGGUGUUACUCUCUAUUUAUAGGCAAAGUGUACCGCUAUGAGGAAGCAAGCAUGUUAGCCACAUCAACAAGGUUCUUUUGGACUCUAGUUGCUUGUCUGAAAUACUAGGACAGAUAAGACCCUAGGGAUCCCUCCACUCACAAGACAAAAGCUGAGAAUAGACUUUCCUAGGAAAGACUAAAGCCAAAAGGAUAAGACAAAUGGUUUUGGGAAAACUAGAUCAGAUUUAGUCAAGCAUAAAGACUCUACAAAACCACUUUACCUAAGAGGACACUUAAGACAGCUGAUAGGUUGGGCGGUGCAUCACAUGGGCAGUUGCUGACUUGGUUUGUGUAUCAUAAAACCCAGCUGGUCACCAAAGGCUCAAGUUAUGUGGUCACGGGUUGGUUUGCCACACCACCCUAGACUAACUUCGAGCUCAAGUAUGAAUAGACUAAUGGUUUGCUAAAAGGUAUUUAAAAUUCAAACACUUAAAAACUGAAACAAAUACAUUUGAAUAUGCACAUGGUCAGACCCAGUAGAUAGAAUAGAUACAACAGGGGUAUCCGUCUAAUCGGGAUGACAAGCACGACUGCCAUCUUAGUGAAUGAAUGUGAAACUCCAAUAGUUCAUUGUGAUCUCAAGCCGAGCAAUGUUCUUUUGGACCAUGACUUGACUGGAUAUGUUGCUGAUUUUGGAUUAGCUAGAAUCCUCUCAAGACUAGUUGAUAAUGUUUCAGCAAAUCAAUCAAGUUCUAUUGGAAUAAGAGGGACUGUUGGUUAUGCUGCUCCAGGUAUGUACUUAUAUGCUAUUUUGUACUACUGUUUUUCUAGUAUCUAGCUUGGUUGUUACAAUAAUGAGAGUUGUUUUUGCUAACAACCAGUGAUGUUGAACCGCAGAGUAUGGAAUGGGAAGUGACGUUUCAACAUAUGGAGAUGUCUACAGCUUCGGCAUUCUCUUGUUAGAGAUGUUUACCGGGAAGAGACCGACUGACCACAUAUUCGUGGACAGUUUGAACCUUCACAAGUGUGUGAAGGUGGCCAUUGGGGAACGAGUUUCAGAGAUUGCAAACUCAACACUUGUUCAAGAAGACAAUCCGAGGCAGAGCACCAAUGAUGCUCAUGAAGAAUGGUUGAGUUCAAUAUUAGGUAUUGGAAUUGCAUGCUCUGUGGAAUCCUCAAAAGACCGAAAGAAUAUCGGUGAUGUUGUGUCUGCACUAAAAAAGAUUCGAGCAACUCUUAUUAGAUAGAAACUUUGUUAUUGUUUUGUUAUGGCUUUCACUGCCUGUCAUGCUUUUAUGUGUUGCGUGCUUUAAUUUUCAUGUUUUGUUGCUACUAUAUGCCUGAAUAAAGUUAUGUAUACAUUAUGUUUAGUUCUCUAUUUCUCUAGCUGUAUCCUAAUUCCUGUACCGUUUCAAGUUUGGUUGUUUGCUUUUAUCUUCCUUUAGCUUUAGUUCAAUUUCUAGGCCACUGAUUCAAAUGAAUAAUGCAAUAAGAAUAGCUUAUAUGAGGCACUGAAUAAUGCCUAAAUCUAAAACAGCUAAUGAGCUACAAUAUCAGUGUGUGAAAGAUAUGCAUGGUUUUAGUAAGAGGGGUAAAAUGAAGUAUGUUUGCUCAAAAUGAUCAAGUUCAAGAAAGUCUGUUUCUUUUUCUUCCUUUCGAUAUACAAAUCUUCCAUAAAGAUGAUGACAUAAUGAUACAGCAAUAUACCACGUACAUUUCCAUGAAAAAGAAAAGAAAUUGUAUGUUUUACCAAGACUGUUUUGGUUCCAGGAGACUUAACUUCUUAGCUAGAUCAGCGCUUACAGCUUCAGCAAAAUCCUGAUCCUCAAAAUAUCACCUCAGCUACUCUUAGGCAUAUUGGUCAACUUCAUUGGUUUGUGGCCAUAUUAGUUGCUCUUCUCCAAACUGCAUGAUACAACAAACAAAUAGAAGAAAUCUCAAAAAUAUAUUCGUAGUGUGAGCUACAUCUCAAAACGCUUCAAAAACAUAUAUUUGGAUGACUAACCGAGUAUCAAUUGUAUCAAACAUGUAGACAAGUAUGCAAAUGUACCAAAGACGAACUAAAUGUUAUAACGUGUCUAUGAUCAAACGAUUCAUUUAUAGUUUUUAAAAAGAAUGAUCAUAACGUAAAAGAUUAUAUGUCACACUAAGACACUCGACCUUAUACAAUCGCCACAUUAGUACCGUCAGUAACACUUAUACUUAUAUGCUCAAUCUUAUGAUUUGCUAUAACUGUCGAAUAUUUGCAAUUUUUUUCGAUAAAUUUCUAAGGAAGGUUCUACUUACACCUCCAAAUUUGUUGUGUACAUCUCCACAAUUUUUAAAUUUUUAUUUGACUUUUUAACUCUUGUGAAAAGACUGCUAAAGACAAAACGUUAAAUAUAAAAGAGAAAAAAAAAAAAAUAAUUACUCCUCCUACCUCUACCAGACCAAGACUGAAUCUCUUAUGUUUUCUUUUCACUUUCAAACGUGCAAUCUCCUAUUGUUGAAUGUGAGAUAUGAGGCAAUAGAUGAUGUAUAUGAUUGAGAUUUCUAAGCCGAGAAUGAUUUCUAGUUACUUCUCCUAGUGUUCUGUUCUUGCUGCAAGUCUCUAUAAUACUUGAUGUUUUGAAGAUUAUCUUGUGUGAAAAACACUGAACUAGAACAAACUAAUAACAGAAUUUGUCUAGAGUUUGCAAACUAAAAGCUUUACCUGGAAGGGAGUGAAUUGACAGAGUCGAAUCAUUUCAACAUCUUCACAAUAGCAUAGAGUAGCACAAACAUUGACAACAAAAUUUGUUUCUCAAAAUGAUAACCCCUGAUGCAAGCCUUUGUUAUGGAUCUUCACAUUCAAAGUUUCAAACCCAGGAACUGGCAAGUUAAGGCAUUCUCUAGCUAGUUCCAGUUUUGUCAUUCAAUAGCUUCUCAGGGUACACCUCAAGACCACAUGCCACAAUCCCUAUCUUGGACCAUAUAGGACAAUUUCUUUGAGGACCCUGAUAACGUCUAGCAUCAUUCUUCGUCAAGAUGAUUAUUGUGACAUUUUCAAGUGCAGAGUGCUCCUAGUGUUAUUAACAGAUGCUGAACCUUUUCAAUCCAAUUUGAACAGACACAGCAAUGCAGCAAGCACAUAAAGAAUUGUAAAUUGAGCAAAUUAAUGUACCUCGUAGAACUUUUCAAUCCAUUUCUCACAAGAAGCAUAUCGAGAUUUCCGCCUCCAAUUGUUCCCCAUGAAAUCUUCAGGUGAUUUCAACGGAGUUCUGGUCAGUAUAACCACAGCACCUGGAGGAUAUUUCUUGACAAGCUCAUCUUCAACUUCACUAAGACCUAAAAGUAAUACAUCAGCCAUUACUUUGCCAACAAGAAUUUGAGUUGUUCAAAUGUUGAGGCUAGUAACAUCCACAAUUGGUUUUUUUUUUUUUUUUUAAAGCAAUGGAAAUCAUGAAUUCUAAUGAGAAUGCUUACUCUUUGUGUUUUCGGAGGAACUGGAUGAUGAUUCUGUAGAUGGUAAAAUUAAGCAACACGAUAUCAUCAUAUAAUAUCCCAAAUUCAAGAACGAAUAGAACCAUGUACACGAUACUAUAUGAGAGAAAUCAUAGAGUACUAACCUUUGGAACGGCGACAGAAAAGUGAACCUGAAUUGGAGCCGGAAUCGGAACCGAAAAGCCCCAUAUGUACCCCUAUAACCUGAAUAACACGAUUUAAUAGUGGGAGCUUCUAUUCAUCCCUCACGUUUUAGCAUUUNNNNNNNNNNNNNNNNNNNNUCUCUCUCUUCUCUCUCUCUCUCUCUCUCUCUCUCUCUCUCUCUCUCUCUCUCUCUCUCUCUCUCUCUCUCUCUCUCUCUCUCCUGCCCCUAUUUAUCCACCCCUACCACCAGCAAUGGGCCCCGGCAGCAGCCCCUCCUCCUCCCCCGGCCGUUAUCACUGUCGUGCCUCCACCUCCUCCUUCUUCCCAGUUUUCAAAUAAGGCUCAACGCCGACGGUGGAGAUGGCGAGGUGCUCAAACACGAAGGAGAGAAGCGCGUCGCCAGCUAAAACGGCAACGUCUUCACCGAAAACCUUGUGGUUGGUGGGUUUUCCACGGCGGAGGUCGUCGUUGUCCAUGCACGGCAAGUCGUCGUAGAUCAGCGACAUGGUGUGGAUCAUCUCGACAGUGCAGGCCGCCGACAUCACCACGGACUCGUCGCCUCUAACGAGCUGGCACGCCGUGAGACACAAAACGGGUCAGACCCGCUUGCCUCCGGCGAGGAGAGAGUACCGCAUCGCCUCGUGGAUCGUGACCGGGUCUUUCAGUGACACGGUGGCGUCCAAGGCCCGGUUGACGGACUCGGCCUUCUCCACCAUGUAAGUCUUGAAAUUGAAACUGGGUUUUGUCGAUUCUUCGUUCACGACGGACUCCUGCUUCGUCAGGAUUGCUGCGACAGAGCUACGGCGGCGAUUAGGGGAAGCGAAGGAAACGGGUCGGGUCGGGUGGAGGAGGAGGAGGAGAGAUGGGGAGGGUCUGGAUCAGUUCAACAUUGAGCAGGCUUGGCCCCAUGAGCUUAGAUUUCACACAGCUCAUACAAAUCUUGUAUGUUUUCAGAGAGAGAGAGAGAGAGAGAGAGAGAGAGAGAGAGAGAGAGAGAGAGAGNNNNNNNNNNNNNNNNNNNNAAAAGCUCCAUAGAUUGAAUUAGAUUUUUAGAGAUAUGGCAAAGGGCUUUAAUAGUUCUAAAAAAAAAAAAAAAAAAAAAAAGGAAGUAACACGAUUAAUGAAAAUAAAAAAGGAGAAAAACAACACGCGUUUUCAUUUUAUUCGAGGAGAAAAUUAUAAUUUGCAGUAACGCGUGACAACAACGCGCUUUCCUAUUCUCUCCCUUUCCUUCUUGGAUUCGGAUUUCUACUGUAUAUAUUCAUCUCCAAACCCACAAAUGAAUCAUUCGUAACAAAGCAGAGAGUGAAGUAGAGAAACAAGAGUGAUGGGAGCCAUGAAGAGAAAGGCGGCGGAAGUGAGUUUAGUUUCAGGGGAGGAGAAAUGGAGAAGAAAGGUCGGAGCCCUGAAGAGUAAGCCGAAACCGGUGAGCUUUGGUUCCGGAGAAAAGUGGGUCCGAGGAAAAAAAAUCGGAGAAGGAGGCUUCGGUUCCGUGUUUGUUGCAUUCUCCAAGAGUCGCUAUAUGCCGAGAGCCAUGGCGAUAAAAUCGGCGGAAAUGAAUGAAUCCGAUUCCAUCCAGUACGAGCUUCAAGUGUACCAGGAAUUGGAUGGUGAUUCCUGCCCUUUCAUCAUCGAGCACUAUGGGGAAGAGGUUACUCUGAGUAGCAAAGGUGAAAAAUUCUACAACUUGGCCUUGGAGAUUGCUUGGGGAAGCCUUGCCGAGUGGAUCAAGGUUUCCGGUAAGGGGGGGUUGCCGGAAAAGGAGGUGAAGGGGUAUGCCGGUCAGAUACUCAAAGGGGUGAAACACAUGCACGAUUGUGGGUAUGUGCAUUGUGAUUUAAAGCCGGACAACAUAUUGCUUGUGGGGGAUGUAAAUGUGGAUGGAAAGCCUGUGUUUACGGCUAAAGUCGGUGACUUUGGCUUGGCUAAGAAGGAGGAGGAGGUUGAGGGAGGAUGGAGAGGCACCCCUAACUAUUUAGCUCCGGAGACUAUAACCGAAAAUAGACAAGAAAAACCUAGUGAUAUUUGGGCUGUUGGGUUAAUUGUGCUUGAAAUGCUAACCGGAGAGCGUGCCCGGCAUCUUUUCUACGAGAGUGAGACUGGUUGUUUCUGCAUUGUUGACAGAAGAAUGAAGCCCGAAAUUCCGGAUACACUAUCGACAGUUGCUAUGGAGUUCAUUGACUUUUGCUUGGAGGAAGUACCGGAGCAUAGAUGGACAGCUGAAGAGCUUCUGUCUCUUCCUUUUGUGGCAGCUGUUAGAUAGUCAUUGUCUGAAAGUUCUGUACUUCUGUUAUAGAAAUUGAAAAUCCCAUUUGCAAGUUUCAGGGAUCAUGUUGUAGUUAUUCCAAGGGAAUGUUGUUUCUGUGGGAUUCAACAGAAAGUUGUACAAUUGUAUAUAUGGAAGUUAUUGAAUUCAAUCGUUUGAAAUCUGUUUCUUGUUUCUUUUUCAAUGUCAUGCUUCUGUUUUCCCUUGUGUUUAAGGUUAUGUUGAUCAUGUUAUGGGAGCCCCUAAAUCAAAAUGGCACAAAUUGUAUCACUAAUGCUUUUCUGCACUGUGAUAUAUGUAACUGCCAGAGAAUGAUCUCACUGAAUCUAAAGUCCUGAUGCAUUAAUUCUUUAUCCAAAGUUUAUCUCAAGGUAUCUUUAAGUAGGAAUCUCAAUUCUGGAUUUGUUGGCCAUUCCUAGUACAGAGAAGAGUAAAAUGAAUUUUUGCUCAGAAUGAUCAAGUUAAUUCAUUGAUAUGAACAGAAUGUUUCUAUGUCUUUCCUUUUGAUACACAAAUCUUCCACAAAAAUGAUGAUACAAAUACAAUGAUCUACUAGUACAGUAUCACCCACAUUUAUGAAAAACAAAAAGCAUAUAUAGGGGGCAGUUCUACCAAGAGUCCAAGACUAAUUUGAUGCCUGGACAACGAACUUUUAAGAGAGAUUUAUUCUCAACUUCUACAAAGUCCUCAAAAAAAUGGAAGCAUCAUUUGAUUCAUUUCUGUACUUCUCAGGCAUAUCGGUCAACUUCAUUCAGGGUGCUUACUUAACAAUGGCACUGAAACAUACACAACUCCAGAGGCACUUUAAGAUGGUUUGACAGAGUAGAGCUUUUUCUGGAGUUCUUCAAUUUAUGAUGGAUGCAGAAGGAAUAUACAUCGUUCCUUGCUACGAGUCAUCCCCAAAUAAUUCUACAAAUGAGAGCAUAAAAGCACCAGAUUUAGUCCACAAUGCCACACAAAUAGUUAAUCAGCAUACCAAAUAGAAGAAACUCAAGAAACAUUUCUUUUAGAUAUAUUUGAGUAUCUAGCUACUACUACUGAGUCUGUUAUAAAUUUUAGGUAAGCAUUGAUGCAUCACUCAUCGAACAGUUUUCUUUGUUGUAUAUAAUUUUUAGGGAAAUUAAUUAUAUGGACAUUUUGUCAUUGGUAAAUUAAUGAGGAAAAAAAAAAGAAAAAAAAGAAAAAGAAAUGCCAAGUUAAUGUUUUAUGUUCAUGAUUUAAGAUUGUAUAUACAAGUAUGACAAGAGGAAACUAAACUCUGAUCAGAUAGCGUAGUUGAAAUCUAAUAUCUAAUCUAAGGAAUAUAUGCGAUCGUCUCAAUUUCUCAUGACUUAAGAUUUACUUUCUCAUUCCCACCUUCAUAGUUAGCAAGUAGAUAUAUACGUACUGUCUCAAACUCCAUGAAUGCAUUACUAAAGUGGAGCCACUUCAAUGAGUUUGUAAGAACUACUUCAAUGAGUUUGUAAGAACUACUUCAAAGUUUGUAAGAUCAUUCUUUGAUUCGAACCAAAUUUCAUUACGUACCUCAAUUGCUAUCAGUAAUGCACUAAUGCUAUCCUCACUCAACGAUUCAGGUGAAGCAAGAUGGAAGAAGGUCAUACUACUACUAUUAUUAGUUUUGUUGUCCUGACUCCUGACAUCGACUCAGCAUAUGGUAAACUUAAACUACUAAUGUUUAGGUCUUGCCAGACUGCCUGAAAUAAUAAAUGUUGCACACAAAAGAAUCAUCCAUGUAUACUGCAAUUCCAUAUAGCAACGCACAAAGUUAACCUUGUCAUCCACUCCGGAAACAACCGUCCAGACAAGGCUCAAGUACAAAAUAAUAAGAGCUUAUAAUGAUGCAUAGAAUAAUUUCUGGCCCUCUUUCACAAUAGAAGUGAAGAACCUUAUCUUCUGUCCCAGAUGUGUCUGUACACUCUGAAACAUGAUUACCCCUAGAGUUGAGACAGUUCUAUCAUGUUCUCACUAGUUGCUAGCUUAAUAUGGGCCUGUCAUAUUAGCAUAGAACAUAAGUAAUGAAAACAGCAUUGUCGAUUUGACUAUAUAUAACAACCACAACCUUAGCUCAAACAAUGCACAAUACUAGUCGAUUGAUCUAAGCUUCUUACCGCCUUCUUUUCCUUUCGUCUGGUUUGGAAUUGAAGCAAAAUAAGUUACUAGUGUAGAUUGGACAUGUUGCUGAGAAUAACUUGGUGGGCAGAAUUCCUAGUUCUCUAGGCCAACUGACGAAAUUAACAUAUUUUAGUGUACAGUCAAAUAGGUUGUCCGGUACUCUCCCUCCCUCCAUCUAUAACAUCUCCAGUCUCCAUAGUUUUUCCAUAGCAGACAACCAAAUUCAAGGGAGCAUGCCCCCAUCCUUGUUUAGAAACCUUUCGAAUCUCCAAUUUUUUUAGCAUUUUUUGAAAAUCAGUUUACUGGAUCACUUCCUCCCUCACUUAAGCAAUGUUACUAAGUUAGAGGUAUUUCAAGUUGCAUAUAACAAAUUAACAGGACAAGUGCCGAAUUUACAAAAGCUUCGUAACCUUGUGGUGUUAAUCAUCUCGGAAGUGGCAGUGAUGGGGACUUAAGAUUUAUAUCAGACGUGACCAAUGCCACGAAGUUGGAGUGGUUGGUAAUAGGAAUAUAGGAUUCAACAAUCUCGGAGGGACGUUGGCCGCAUCAAUAUCUAAUCUCUCAACCCUUUCAGUUCUUCAUGUUAUGAACAACCGUUUACACGGAAGCAUCCCUACAGGGAUAGUUUUGAGCCUUUAGAUUAUAUAGAGGCUUUAGGUUUUAUGAACUUUAUAAACUGUAUGACUUGCCCACUUUAGAGGAGCCGGAUCCAUGUUAUUUUGUACUACUAUUUUUCUUGCAUACUAGGUAGUUUCAUUAACGAGAGCUAUUUUUUAACAACUGUGACGUUUGAACCGUAGAGUAUGGAAUAGGAAGUGAGGUUUCGACAUAUGGAGAUGUCUACAGCUUCGGCAUUAUCUUGUUAGAGAUGUUUAUAGGGAAGAUACCUACUGACCACGUCUUCAUGGAUGGUUUGAGCCUUCACAAGUGUGUGAAGAUGGCCAUCAGCGAACAAGUUUCUGAGAUUGCAGAUCCAUCACUUGUUCAAGUAGGCAAUCCCAGCCAGAGCACCAACAAUGCUCUUGAAGAAUGCUUGAGUUCAAUACUAGGAAUUGGAGUUGCAUGCUCUGUGGAAUCCGCAACAGACCGAAAGAUUAUCGGUGAUGCUGUGUCUGAACUUAAAAAGAUUUGAGCGACUUUUGUUGGAUAGAAACUUUGCUACUGUUCUGUUAUGCCUUUCACUGCCCAUAUUGUUUUAAAGUGGUGCCUGCUUUCAAGUCUUGUUGCUGUAUAUGUGCUUGAAUUAAGUUAUGUAUACAUUGUGUUUUGUUCUCUGUAUCCUAAUUCCUAUGCAUCGUUUCAGGUUCUGUUUUUUGCUUUCAUCUUCCUUUAGUUGUAGUUCAACUUCUAGGCCAUUGAUUCAAAUGAAUAAUGCAAUAGGAUUAGAACCAAGUGACAGUUCACAUUCUUUGCUCAACAUAUACAGGCAGCUCAAACAUGUAAUAUUAUAUAGUUUGGAUUUUCAGGGGGAAAAAAUGGAGUUUUAGGCCAUACCAGUAAAGCUAAGUUGCACGGACACGGACACGGCGACACGACAUGGCGACACGGCAAAACUCAAAAACUGAGUUUCCGACACAGCUUGGACACGGCAAAUAGAAUUAUAUAUUUAUGUAUUUUUAAUAAAUAAAAAAAUACUAAAAUAUGAAAUAAAUUCAUUACAUUACUAAAUAAAGUUCUAAAUUCAAUCUAUUUCAUAACCAUAAGAAAUAAGUCAAGUGCAUAACUAAUACCAUUAAAAGGAGCACCUCAAACAUAACAUACUUGAGUAGUAGUUUGUUUUCAAAUAUGACAAUUUCUAGCACAACAACAUGGUUAAAACUAAAACAGCAACAGAAAUGAUAAACUGUCAGUCUGCCACUCACUACAGACCAAGAUUACAUUGCCAAAAAUGAUAAACUGUCAGUUAAAACUAAUACAACAACAAUUAAAACUAAUACAGCAAUAUAAAUGAUAAACUGCCAGUUAAAACUAAUACAACAACAGAAAUGAUAAACUGCCAGUCUGCCACUCACUACAGACCAAGAUUACACUGCCAAAGUACCAAAUAUUUACAAUAACAUGGAACAAAAGAGACUCCAACCAAACUGCCACCCACCACAAACAGCUUCAAACUUCUUCUUUUGCCCAAAAUUAAAAGUCUCCUCCAACAACAAACUAACAAAGAGCAUGCCCCAAAAAGAAAACAGACAAAAGAGAUGAAGAACAAGAACAACCUAGUGUUAAUGAUAUUUACAGCAACAGAAUUCCCUGCAAAGAAAAUGACACAAAUGAAUCAUUAAAUCAAACCAAAGGCGCGCUCAGUUUUUCUGGCUCAUUCGACUCAACAUUAGGUUCAGUUGAAGCAGCACUUGAGCUCAUCCUAUUUAUACAAUUGAUUCAUUCAAUAUAGAAUAAGCAAUUUGAGCAACAAGGAAUCAAUCCAUAAUCAGGCAACAAUCUUAUACUGAAUUCAAACUUAACAGAAAUAAUAUUGAAUUCAAAUCAAACUUAAUAGCUCCUUAACUCAAACUAGCUCCUUAACUCCUUAACUCAAGUCUUGAACACAUUACACAUCUCAUUUUGAAUUCAAUCAGCAAUACCACAUUUAAUCAGCAACAACACAUCUCAUUUUGAAUUCAAUCAGCAAUAAGUCAAUAACACAUCUCAAUUUAGCAGAACUAUCGUAUUAAGGAGGAAGACGAACUAACCUUAGCAACGGUGGACUGGCGACUGGCGGACUGGUGGACUGGCGACGACGACAACAGUGGACGGUAGAGAGAAGAGAUCAGAUCGGUGAAGAGAUCGACUGGGUGGCGGACUGACGACUGGCGACUGGCUAGCGAACGAUGAGAAUCGGUGGCGGACGGUGAGAAUCGAUAGCGGACGGUCAGAAUCGGUGGCGGACGGUGAGCGUCUUCUUCGUCCGGGAAUCGAAUCCGUGAAGACUGAAGAGGGCACAGAGAGGACUGAGGAGAGAAGAGAAGAGAAAGAGAAGUCAGAGAAGUGAGAGAACUAACCGAGCGUGCCUCAGUUAGUUCAGUUUUUUUUUUUUUCUUUUUUUAAGUCUUGCUGACGUGGUGUGUCGCAGUGGCGUGUCGGAGGAGGUCAACGUGUCCACGCCGCGUCCGAAAAGUCAAUAUUUUCGGACACGCCACGUGGCGUGUCGGACACGGAUUUUGCCGUGUCGGGCGCGUGUCCGAAGUGUCGGAGUUCGUACACUCCGACACUCCAGGGGUGUGGAGUGUCGGUGCAACAUAGCAGUAAAGAGACCCGCAAAUGAAUUAUGUUCAGAUGUAGAUGAAAUAGGGUUUGGUUCACAGUUAAUCAGCAUAACAAAGAGAAGAAACUCAAGAAACAUUUCUUGUAGACAUAUCCGAGUAUAUAGCUACUGCUAUUGGGUCUUUGUUAUAAUUUUUAGGUAAGCACUCAUUAGUUUUCUGAAAAUAAAAUAAAAUAAAGAGCAGGAUUGUUAAUGCUUCUUCUUUCUUGUUUGAUCUUCUCCUUUGCUUGUUUCUUUGCUCACAGUCCCUUCUUGUGAUCAAGAUCAUCACCACUAUUAUGUUCAGGACCAUUGAUUUUGGAUUUAGUACAUGACGAGGGACAGAGGAAGUAUGUGCAUAUGUGUUGAUCUGCAAACGAGACACAUAAAUAGUUGUUGGUUAGGAGUUGGGACAUAUGGUCAGCCAAGGAAGAAGAAAGAAUCGGGAAAUGGCACGUAAGCAAAGCAAGUAGAUGAUUGGUGAGGAACCAUGUGGCAACGUACACCUAACCUCACUAGAAUGCCAAACUCUACAAACGUACCUUUUAUAAACACAAGCGUAGAGGUGUUGUUGGUACUUCCCUGUCAAACUACUACAGGAAAAAGUUGAUCAAAUACUUUAAUGCAAAAGAUGCGCACACUCACAUGACUCUUUUGGUAAAACAUAAUUUCUGGACUGAGAUUUCAGAGAAGCCAAGAAAACCCUCAUUGUAGUUUGUUGUAGAUUUCAAAGUCGCACAAACUCACACCCAACCCAGCACAAAGCCAGCCCCUCCCUCCACCGAUCCCAAGCGGCAACUUCUAAUAAAAAUAAACAAAACCCCAUUGUCCUUGUCAUCCCUGUUCCUCAUAUAUUAGAUUUGCUCUGUUCUAAUCAGAGUGCUACUCCCAUCAGCAAUCUGAGAAAAAAAAACAAACCAACCCCCUUUUUAUCCUUUCUUUAUUUUAAUCAAUACCCUUUGAUCUUUUACUAGAUAUAUUCAGGGUUUUUCAGUUAUUCAGGUCAAACUCAAAACUCUAGUUGAUCUUCUCUUUCACUCUUUUUGCAGCAGCCGUAAUAGUAGUGUUGGGUUUGUCCAUCCUUUGUUCAACUCUGACCGGUUGAUCGUGUUUCUGGGUUUUUUGUGUGCUUCACAGAAAACCCAACUUGAAUUUUCAUCCAAAGAUUUAACCUUAUUUUGCACCAUGAUCUGCUCUUUGAAACAAUCGCCGGCGAUCACGAGCGGCUGUGAUGUUUACUUGCGGCCAAGAACUCUGCCGGCGGUGCAGGGAUCUUUGCAUUUGCCGUCUCUUCCUUUGAAGAACUUCCAAAGGUCUGUGCUUUCGGUGCAGAAGCCUCUGCACAUCUCUAGUUUGGAGAGCUUUGGAUCACUCAAGAGCAGAACGAGUUUGAUCAAAUGUCAGGCUUACGAGGCAGAUCAGUCAGAGCCGAUCGAGCUUCCAAAGGUGGAUACUCGAUCAGAGGCGGCCAAGAAGUUGAAGAUCGGGGUGUAUUUUGCUAUGUGGUGGGCUCUGAAUGUGGUUUUCAAUAUUUACAACAAGAAGGUGUUGAAUGCCUACCCUUUUCCUUGGUUGACCUCCACUCUGUCUUUGGCAUGCGGGUCUUUGAUCAUGUUGGUGUCUUGGGCUACCAGGAUUGCUGAGGCGCCCAAGACUGAUAUGGAUUUUUGGAAGGCUCUGUUUCCUGUAAGUUUGAAUUGGGUUUUAUUUGUUUUUGGUUUUGUGUGAAUGGUGGAUAGAGUUUGCUGAGAAAGUGAGUGUUUUAACUUGUUCUGCUUUAUGGUCUUUUGAUUUUGUUUUGGUUUUGGAAGUGAGUUGGGAUUUUUGAAGGUCUUUCUUUUUGUUUGGAUGCUGAGAAAGUGAAGGAAAAUUUCUGAUAGUGAAAAUGUAACUCAACCGAAAACAAGCUAGGACAAUUAUGUGAUGAGUUUAGUUCUUGCCUUUCUUGUAGAGAUAUCAAUUAUCGACAGAGUUUGAACUUUUUAGGAUAGCCAUGCAUUGACUUGGAGAUUGUGGUGUUUUAUGACCAUUGGAUUGAAAUCUACAUUUUUCUGGAUUAUGAUUGUAGUGUUGUUGAUUUCUCUAACAGGUUGCUGUGGCACAUACCAUUGGACAUGUAGCUGCAACUGUUAGUAUGUCUAAGGUUGCAGUUUCCUUCACCCAUAUCAUCAAGAGUGGAGAGCCUGCUUUUAGUGUAUUGGUUUCAAGGUUCCUGCUGGGCGAGUCUUUCCCUACUUCUGUCUACCUCUCCCUUCUUCCAAUCAUUGGUGGUUGUGGUCUUGCUGCCUUGACAGAGCUUAACUUCAACAUGAUUGGUAACGAACUUUGUCCUUACUGAAAGCAGAAUCGUUAAUUCUUGAUUUCUUGAUCCUGUGACUUCUUGUUGAUAAAGAAAACAGUAUCAAAUUUUUAUCUUGUUGAGGACUUAUCCAGAAAAGUUAAGUUAGCUGCCAAUGUUGCAUCUUGCUAAACGUUUGCCUGCAUAUUUUGUAUGUACAAUUACAGUUCCAGUUUCUUAUGGAAAUAUUAAUUCUUCGUUCUACUAUUUCUCCUUGUUAUUUUUAUAUGACCUAGGAUGUCAUAGCCAGUUUUUUUGUUGGUCCAGUUUUUUCCAAAUACCAGAGUGAGCUCUAGCCGGUUGCACUGGUGGUUUGCUUAGUUACUUUUUAAAAUGUAACUAGUUAUAGUUUAAUCUCUUAUAGCAGGUUAUUGGGAUUAAAAGAUUAUGCUUUCUUUUGCUACAGCUAAAUAGAGUCUUAAAUUUGAUGAGUUGCUGUUUGUUUCAGGAUUUAUGGGGGCCAUGAUAUCAAACUUGGCAUUUGUCUUCCGCAACAUAUUUUCAAAGAAGGGCAUGAAAGGGAAAUCUGUUAGCGGAAUGAAUUAUUAUGCUUGUCUAUCUAUCAUGUCUCUUGUAAUUCUCACACCAUUUGCAAUAGCGGUGGAGGGACCCAAGAUGUGGGCAGCUGGAUUUGAAACAGCCAUGGCGCAAAUUGGCCCCAACUUGAUAUGGUAAUUUCGUGUCAACUGUCAUAUGUAAUAUGUUUUUAUUCAUUGGUUCAUAUUUGUUAUUCUUCUGUAUAAAUGUUUUUCCAUGGUAGAGAAAAAGAGCAUUGUAAGUACAUAAUAUAGGUAAUUUUCUUUGGCAAGAACAAGGCACAUGCACGCCACAACUCGUGUCUGAAUAUUUCAAAAGUGUAGAGAUUCUUUGAUCCUUUGAAUUUUAGCUUAAUAGGCAAUGUCCAAUUAAGUCUCUUAUAGAGAUUCCUUGGAACUAGUAGAAUGCAGAUGAUGAACAGGGCAAGGCAUCUUGGUUGGAAUGUAUUCUGCUAGAAGUUAAUCUAAUUAUCAGCUUAUAGUUACUGACUAAAGCAUUAGUAAAUUUUAACCUUGUUAUAAAAGUAUCCUGUUAUACUUUUUUUUUGUCAAAGGUCGGUCGCUCAUGAUUAUGAUACAAGUUUUUUUUUUUUUUUUUUCUUUUUACAUUAUUGUAAUGGAAUUGGAGGAGUUCAUUACAAGACAUUUUUUUUUUUGGUUAGUUUGAAAUAUCUUGCAGCUAUGAUUUUAAGGUUCCGUAUUAGUCUGAAAUAUAAUGAAAUGUUGGUCAAUGACCAUGUGUUGUAACUGUUGUUUUGGACCUGAAUCACUACCAGAACAAUUCUUCGUGAUUGUUCUUGUUUAACACUGAUACCUUCAUUUCUUUAUAUGCCUGCUUUCUACUACUAAUGAGCUGUUGUUGGUUAUAAACAAUAGGUGGAUGGCAGCCCAGAGUGUCUUCUAUCAUCUCUACAACCAGGUGUCAUACAUGUCAUUAGAUGAGAUAUCUCCCUUGACAUUCAGCAUAGGGAACACCAUGAAACGUAUAUCUGUCAUUGUAUCAUCCAUCAUCAUAUUCCACACACCUGUCCAGCCUGUCAAUGCUCUUGGAGCUGCUAUUGCAAUUUUCGGAACCUUCUUAUAUUCCCAGGUAAGCCCAUUCUCUCUAUGAAUUGAGCCUGAUUGUUCGUACUUGUUUAUGAAUUUUUUAUCUGUCUGACUUGAACUGUUUAAACGUUGAGGAAAAUUUUCUUGGGUUACACCAUUUGAAAAGAUUAAAUUAUAAUAUGCAUCAAUUACAUAUGGACCUUCUUUCGCAAUAAGAAGCGAGUUGCAUGCAUUUGAAACUAUGAUCUGGUGUUUGGCAUUGUUACUUGCCUGCACAUUUAGGCCAAUUUCAUUAAACGUAAAUGAAUUUUUUGGUUUGGUUUACGAGUAUUCCUAAGUUUAAGUUAGGAUGUGGAGAAACUAUUCUUUUCGUAUUGUAACGGUUUCUACAAUGCAAUUUGACUAGUCUGUAUACAUUGACAAAGUUUAUUUGGUGUUUUAUGUUUCAUACCUUUUGUUUGCACAUGCAGACAAAUUGUUUCUGUCUAUUUCAUGCCUUUUGUUUGUAUGUUAGAAGAUAACAACAGAAAGUUUGGUGAUAUUUUGUGGGAUGUGGUUGUAUCACGGGUUUAUUAGAAUGAAUUGUAAACUUGCCUUUGCUAUUUUCUUUAUAAGUUCAGCUUUACUUUACAAUUACAUCACCUAAACUUCUAUAGGAAUAUCAUGUUGUGCUACCGAUUAGCAUUUGAUUGACUUAAUGUUAAGUGACCUCUAUGAUAAUAUGCUUGGACUACCAUAGCCUACAUGAUUGUACUUGUGUUUCUUUCAGCAUUUAUAUACUACUUAUUGACCACAUUGGUUUUCUUCAGGCAAAGCUGUGAGGAGCUUGCGCUGGGGAAGAUUUACGUAUAUCGUGUAACAUAAACGACGGGAAGGGAGACUUGCGGUAUAGGAAGAGACAAAAGAAGAGGUGCUGUGAAACUCCAUGGUUACCGGAUUUUUGGUCAUAUGCAUGAACCAAGAGUGUGUAAUUGUAGAUACUAAUAAUGGUUGAAACGGCACUAGUGUUAUAGAGAAGAAAACUAGGCACUAUUUUUUUGCUCUUUUCUUUUUCUUUUUACUUUUUAAAAAAAAAAUAUCAAGGAGAUUGAAUAGAAAUAUUUCAAUAAGCAUGGACUAAUAUCUGCAAUAGUAUGUCUGUUGCUGUGAGAAGCAUAAAUGUCAAUGUGGGUGUUCGGCAUAAUCAUAUUUCUUGUUUUCUAAUGGCUCUUGUUUAGAAUAUCCUAAUCCUAUUGAGUUGAUGGAUAUGCUUUAGCUGUCAUAGAGCUUUCUAUUCCAGAUUAUAAUAACACAUAAGAGCAGGGAUCUUCUUGGUGCCUGUCGUCUUCGGGCAAUUUUCCAUUAUGCCAAUGUGGGAAAAUGUCCUUUUCGUUUUUGGUUCUUUAAGAAACAGUGGUCAUUUCCUUCAGAGCAUGACUAUGAAAGCUAAACAACAUCAGCACCAAAGCUAAUUCAUCAUAGAAGCAUGCAGUCGGCAGUCCUCCCUCCCAUUUACUGCUAAUCAAUGUACACCAUCUGCAAUUCACUGCCUUCUGAAGUCUUAUCGUCCCCUUUUCCACUCCAUAAUUGGAUUAUUUUCGCCUUGAAUGCCUUCUCAACCCCAUUAGGAAGCAGAAAGAUACUCCUGGUAUGAGUAGGUACUGCCUUUGCAACGGCUUUGAUCAAAGUUGCUUUCCCUGCUUUAAAAAGAAAGUUUAAUCUGCCACCCGUCCAACUGAUUGUCCAACCUCUCAUGAAAGCUUCUUGUACAUCUCCCUUCUGUUUCUCCCGACCAUGGUUGCCUGGUUGGUGAGCAUCUUCAACAAGCAUGUCAAAUUUUUUUGUCAAUUUCAAAAUUUAACAUGUGAGUUGGCAAUGUUAUUUUUUACUCAUUUCCUCUUUAAUAAAGAGUUAAAUUUGAAACUUAUUUUAUUAUUUUUAUAAUAUUAUACAUAUACAGCUCUUUCUUAGAGGAAGAAGAGAAAACAAGGAAGAAGAGAAAGUAACCGGGAAAGAGAAGAGAGAGAGGAUAAUAAAAUAGUGGAUGACCUUUUCUUUUGGCUGUGUCAAAUUUAACUAUAAAAACUAUAUUAUCAAUUAUACGUGAAAUUGACCACUUUGUUGGAGAGUUGUUUAGUUUGUUAAAAGUAGUUGUUGGACUGCCAACUAAGAUUUGACUCAUUUGUUAGAGUUGCUCAGGUGAUUUGUAAUAUCCAUUUUAGGGUCACACCAGGAAUGAAAGCGCCACAGACAUCAGUGCUUCAUCGAGAUUCACCCUCGCGAAAAUUGCAGGGACGAAAUGUAAAUAACGAUCCUCUGGCCUUCUUUUGUAAAAAGGUAGGAAACGCAGAGAAAAUUUUGGAAUUAAAACAAGUAAAGAUCUUGAACCACCACCGGCCACCACUGAACUUGUAUUACGCGACCUCCUUUAAACUGUUAUCAACAAACCAGAGGAUGUCAUCCACACAAAGCUGGUGACCAGCUGGUGAGAGAACAAGAGACACAGGACUAAAGAGAAACAUCUAUACUCAGCUAUAUUCUUCACCUAAUUAUAGCUCCCAUGGUAGGUCAGGUAUCCCAAUGAAACACCAUGAUAUCGAAUAUCUAACACCAUGAUAGUAACUCAAUCCAAAGUAAAAAACCAACUUCAUCGCCUUCAAUCUUAAAAGAUCGACAUGUCCUUUUUGAGAAACAUAGUGACAUUGUACAGGAACCAAAGAACCUUGCAAUAUAAGAGCAGUUUAAACAUUGCAGAAAGAUAGAAUACAGUACUUCCGUUCAUCAACUGUUCUUGGAUGGUUGAUGACAAGAGACAUCAUCAACCAAUCAACAAAUUGAUCUCCUAAUUAACAUGGCUCUAUACGACAGUUACGUAAAGAUACAUUUAACAAAAUUUAUUCCUGUGGUUCUAGCUUUAAUUUGAUGCUUCUGUGGUUUGUUCAGUAAUGACAACAUCAAACCUUCAAGUGUUUGAUGGCAGUAUGAACAUCUUUGUCCCCUCUGCCACUACAGUUAAGCACAACUUUAGCCCCAUCAGGAAGAGUUGGGCAGAGUUUUUCUAGGUACGCCAGUGCAUGAGAAGUCUCCAGAGCUGGAAUGAUUCCCUCCAACCGGGACAACCUUUUAAAAGCUGCGUUAGGAGAAAACUUACUGAUUAGCCCAAGCUUGAUGCUUUCCGAGCAAUAGUAGAUGACAAAGCAUUGAAAUCUUUCAUCAAACAUAGAACAGUCAAAGAGAUUAAGACCAGUAACGUAACGUAAUUCUUUGAGAGAAAACAUUGGGUCAGUAAGAAAAGUCAAAACGUAUUAGAAGUCUCUAGUUGUUAUGAUGUUAUCAGAGGAUUAAACAUUUAGCUUAAAAUGGGAUGCAACCAUGUAAUAGGCUGUCCUAUGCAAAGAACAUAAAAUAAGUAAAUUCUACACCAAAAAUCACAUACCCUCCAAUGCUUCGUCAUCAGUAAUGCUAUGGUAUUCAGCUCGCCCCAAAUCUUUUAAAAAACUAUGCUCCGGUCCAACUCCAGGGUAAUCCAAGCUAUAUGGCAAAAAUAAUUCUUAUGAUUAGGACACGCUAAAAAACCACAUCACAAUUGGUAAUCAAAAAUAUUGAAAGACUUCUGUACCCUGCACUUAUAGAAUGAGGCUCAAUAAUUUGGCCAUCUUCAUCCUGUAACAAGUAACUCAUAGCUCCAUGUAGAACUCCAACAUCUCCUUUGGUUAAAGUUGCAGCAUGUUUGCCACUGUCUAAUCCAAAACCUGCAGCUUCCACCCCAAUCAAUCGAACCUCCUUAUCUUCCACAAACUCAUGGAAAAGUCCCAUAGCAUUCGAACCGCCACCUACACAAGCUACUAAAACAUCUGGUUUCCCACCCCACUUUUCCAAAGCCUGUUUUCUUGUUUCUUUACCAAUCACUUUGUGGAAAUCACGAACCAUCAUAGGGUAUGGGUGAGGACCGGCAACUGAGCCCAAAAUAUAAUGGGUUGUCUCUACGUUGGUAACCCAGUCUCUUAUAGCUUCUGAAGUGGCAUCCUUCAAUGUGGCUGUUCCAGCAUGGACUCCUCUGACCUACAGCUCAGAGAAGGGAAUAAAAGUUUAGAAUUCAGAAAGUUCUGUUUGAUAAAAGCAAUAUUCGACUCAGAAUUAGGAGAAUAGUGCAUAAAAAAGCGAGUCCAUUCACACAAAAUCCUGUCUCAAGAAAAAGACAAGAAAAAUAAAGAUUGGGCACUUAAGUGUGGAAUAUAAUUACUUUCCUACAAAUUGCAUAUCUACUUUCUGUACGAUGUAUCUUAUAGGGCUGCCUAUAUCAGUCAAUCAUGACAAAAAGCAUGUUAUAAGUUCUGAUUUCCAAAUAGAAAAAAAGAAACUAAAUUCUAUAGAGAUUAGACUACCAAUAAUUACAUAUGAGACAAAUUCCAACAGGCAAUAGAGCAAAUGGCAGAUAGCAUCACUGGUUAUAAAUCAAAUGAUAAUGGUAUGCAAAAUUUCAGAGAAAGACAAUUGACUUAUUUCCUAUAGGAAUGUUUAUUUUGGUCAUCUUGUUCCGGACAUCUUAUCAGUGGAAAAUUGAUGUGAGAAAAUAUGCCUAAAUUCAUUCAGUCCAGUUUCAUAGACCACUGGAUGGAUGUUCAUGUUGUAAAUAUAACCUCCAAAACACUACAGAAAAUGUACCACUCAAAAGAAAUAAAUUGUAGUUGCAGACCAUUACAUACCUCAGCACCAAGAAGCCGCAUUCUGAAAACAUUGAGAGCUUGUCUUUCCAUAUCUUGGGCACCCAUGUAGAUGAUACAUUGCAAUCCAAACCGAGCACAGACGGUUGCAGUGGCAACUCCAUGCUGACCUGCUCCAGUCUCAGCAAUAAUGCGCUUCUUGCCCAGUUUCUUAGCUAGCAGAGCUUGAGCAACAGCAUUGUUGAUCUUGUGGGCACCAGUAUGGUUAAGAUCCUCCCUCUUCAAGUAAAUGUGUGGCCCUUCACCAUUAGGGCGUUUGUAGUGUUCAGUCAGCCGCUCUGCAAAAUAGAGAGGAGUUUCCCUGCCAACAUAGUCCCUCAAAAUGCCAUUCAACUCUUUCUGCAAUAUCAUACAUUCAUCCAAAAAAUUAGUAAAACUGCAUUCAGCUCAUAACCAAGUAUAAGCACAACAAUGUUGGCAAAACUCCAAACAUAAGGAAACUAUUCAUUUGAUAGUGCAACUUUCCACAAACUGGGUUCGGUAUAUCCCAUCUACCACUGCUCAAUUGAGUGGAAACUUAAAAAACCAUAACCAACAAUAUUCUAUUCAAUAACAUCCAGCAUUCCUAAUUAUUUUGAAAGGAGUGACCAAAACAUUAGCUCCAAGACAUGUCACGAAAAAGGAAAAGAGUAAACCGAAAGGCCAACAUAAUAGGCAUUUCUAAAUUAAAAUUUCACAGCUGUAUACUACACCAUUAGGACAUCAUCAGUAUAUUCAAAUCCUUGGCUGAAAUCGAAAGAAUUCCAUAAUAAAUCACAUAGUUCAAAUCAUCCACACAAUUAUUUUCUUCUAAGGCAACUGAUUUGGUGCAACAUUGAAUGGAAUGUGUUUGGAUAUUUCUAACACAGCAGUAAAAAUUUUGAUUAAAUUCGAUCAGAUUUUACUGUAAAUUCACUGAAGCUAGCUCCAUUCACAAAUUACAAACAUAUAAAUUUCCAAUUUCUGCAUCCAUAUUUCACAUAUAACAAUUUGACAUUACCUGAAAAUCUUCAUCAUCAGCGAGCUUGUGAAACGCGGCCUCGAGCUCGGUGAGGGCGUGCAUUAGCGUCUCCGGGACGUAUUUGCCGCCGUACUUUCCGUAGCGGCCGAAGGAAUCGGGUCGGGGCAGGCCCGCCAGCGACCCGUUUUCGCUCUUGCUGUCCAUGCGGGGAGCGGCGGCGUCUCGGGCGAGGGUGCAGGAGAUGGAGGAAGGAGCGGUGGCACGGGAGGAAAAUUUGCCGAACUUGAAGGGGAGUUGGGAGGAGUAGGGUUUAGAGAGCGGCGCGGUGAUUAGGUUCAGGUGGGUUUUGCAAGCGGUGGUGGUAGAGCCAGUUGAGGCUGCCAUAGAAUAUGAGAGAGAGAGAGAGAGAGAGAGAGAGAGAGAGAGUAGNNNNNNNNNNNNNNNNNNNNAAGGCUAGUUUAACAUGAUUUUUUUACCCAGUUAGCUAUUGACCAAAUGAACAUACCCACCAUGAAGUCUCUAAUAUCAGUGGAUUUCCUGAAAGAGAAAUAAAUCCUCAGGGGUGAUAGAUUUCAUGAUUUUAUCGCGGUUACUAUUUUUGGAUUAAAAUAUAAUCCAUUUAUCACCUAUCUACCUACUUCAUUUGUGAGAUUAAAAAAUCCUUAGCAUAAAGCGUGGCCGUUUGGAGGACCGCAACGUAACGUAGUGCAGAUAAUGUGGGCUUGGGGUGGUGCUAUGUUUGAAUGGUAUCUGCAUGUGGAGAGGAUCUUUAUUGUAUCUCAUAUGAAUAUGUACACUAGAAAAGAAAGUUACUGUGAACAAAAGGUUUGUAGGAAACUUUGCUACGAAAUUUGUAGUCAAUGCAGUAUUUUUUUUUUUUUUUUUUUUGAAUAAACAGCUUUAUCCAAUAAACUUGUACUCAAUUAGACAUCAACUAACAAAGAACGCUCUAAUGCCUACUCUAUUUGUUUUGAUAUCAUCAGUAUUUUAUAGCCAAUGCUAUGUAUAAUGAGUUUAAAAAAAAAAUAUGAGCUGAAUGAACUUUUUUGAAAAAUAGAAACGAACCAUCUUUUCUUAUUUUUCAUGAAACUUUUUCUUUAAAUGAGGACUCGCAACAAAUUCGAAGACCUUAUUACCACAGUUCUUGUAGCCCCAUGCAAAAGAAGUUAAAGUUUAAAACUCAGAACAGAGUGUUCUGGGAACAUUUGCACUACAAAUACACAGCCUAGUUGUGAGCCUUGACCAAAUGGACGGACGAGUCUUAUAUAACUGAUCGUACAUGGUUUUGUGCCUACAUCACACUUCACAAAUACGUUAUUGAGAAUGGAAACUUUAGGUUAUAUAGGCCGACUAUAUGAAGAUUCAGGGAUCUCACCUGUUCAAGUAUGAAGUUUCACUCCUAAUGUAAUCAAUUUACUGAUUCAAACAAAACAAAAAUGUAAAUCUACAACAAUACAUAGAUUACUCCCAACGUACAACAUUCAUUCCAGUCAAUCUACAGUCUCAUGUUGCGAAAGUGUUCAUUGUACUCAAGAGUAUGCAAAAAAGAAGUGAUCAGAGCUGGAAAUCAGAGGAUUGGGUCUGAUCUGUAUUUCAGACUCGCCCAAGUAACCUAAUGUAGCUAAAUCCUCCCAGUUACCACAUUUGAAAGUGGUAGAAAUUAGAACACAGCACAGAACCGAAGAUCACCACAACCACACCCAACAUGAUUUCACUGGUAAUGAAGAAAUUAACCCUUCCCUCCUCCCUCUGGCAUGUGCGAGUUGAAAAAGGUGAUGCCUCCUAGUGAUGCGACUAACUCUAAGAUUUACUGUUUUGUAAUGCAGUCACCCUUGGUGUGUACCUUGCAACUGCAAAGACUUGCAUCUACACAAGUACACGAAUCAUGACAAACAGAUGGAGAUACAAAAUACCAUUCUCUUUCCAAUAUCUGAAGAAAAAUACCCGGAAUUGAUGGCAUUCAGGAAAUCAAGUCAUUUCCAUACAACUGAUUAGCAAAAGAGAAACAAACAGAAAAUUGUCCAUACAUCUCUGAUCCAGCAUAUUCCAAAAGUCAAGGUGGGAGGCACUUUGAAGUUAACCCAAUUGAAGCUAUCAAUCCAUAGAAUUCUCAUGCAGUAGCACAUACUCACGGCUGCAAAAACCAAGUUAUAAGGAUGUUGUCAAUAUUAGCAAAAUAGCAAGGAUUCCAGAUCAUAGCAGAAACAACAGACAAGAAUGUGGGAAGUAAACCUAUAGGUUUUUAAAUUAGGUCAUACUUUUGAGCCUCAUGUCUCAAAGUAUUAUAAAAUAAAACUCCUAUUUUAUAUAUAUGUUCCAAUUGGUAUCCAUGAGCAUAUUUCCCCAUUUGAGAUUCUGGUCAGUUUUACUCUAUCGAAAAGUCUAGUUUGUAUCCACAUGCAACUACCCGAACACAAAUGAACUCAACAUCUGCCAGAUCCCUAGCUGAACAUUAACCUCAACCGUCUUAGUUAAUUAGAUGUGUUUCUAAAACCAAUUGUUCAGCUACAUCCAAUAAGGAAACCAUAAAAGCCUAACCAAAUGAGCAUUUCAACUGCCAGUUCCAUAACAGCAUACAACCACGGAUAAAACAGCAAACAACCACGGAUAAAACAGCAAACAACCACGGAUAAAGCACGAAGACUAAUAUUUAAAAAAAAAAAAAUAAUAUAUAUAUAUAUAUAUACACACACAUAUAUAUUCUUUUGCUGUCUAGAGAGACGGCAAUCUAUGCAUCACAAAAUCUCAAUUCAGAUAUUCAUUCAUCAGUAACCUACCUACUAUUGCCAAAUUUGAUCGUGUCUCUUUCCAUAAGUUCAUAAUAUCGCUGAGGUUCAAUUGCACUUUCCUGCAAAGCAAAGGAAAUGUUAAAACUAAAUUCCUGCAUAUACAGACAAAUCUCACCUAACUGCAAACAACUGAUAUUUGUAAGUUGUUACUAAUGGGGAAAGUAUAUGUGUGUGUGUGCAUCAAUAUGAGCCACUUACAUUAACAAAGGUCUUAUUUGUGCUUCCGAGGUCCAUUAUGUAAGGCCUACAAUAGUACACGAGAGAAGUUAAAUAUGAGAUCUGGAACAAUGACUACUCAAUUAAAUGGAAUUAACCACAAAUUAAAUUCAUCUUACUUUAUUUCCUUUGACAAUGUACCAUCAGGUUGCUCCUUUUCUACUUGCCUGGUGUGAUGGGGAAUAAAAAAUUAAAUACUGACUCACAAAAUAUAUAGCAAAAUUAAAAUGGCAAUUAUGGACCCACCGGAAUUGUAUAACAGCAUGUUGUUUGCUGCAAGACGGGUGAUCUGUAGGGAUGUCUGCCACCCUUCUUUCCCUCCCAAAAAGGUAACAGCUUUGGCGAUGUAUCUUAAGGGGUUCUGAAAAUCAUAUGUACAACUUAGAACCACAACCAAAUUCAGCAAUCAUCAUGAAUAGAUCUCAAAAGACAUGAACUCAGAAAGAUGAGCAGGAAAAUGACUUUGGCAAUGAAUAUGCGGGACCUUUAAAACUAUGGAAAAUCACCAAAACCUAAGUCAUCACAAACAGAGUAAAAGAGUUAGAGAGAUAAGUUUGGAAUGCUAGUCAGAAAAAUAGUACGAUGCUUACUUAAGAUUUAAGAGAUUAACAGGUCCAGAAACUCAGCAGAUAACCAAAUAAUACAUCUUGUUUUUAGUUAACAUAUUUUUAAGUACGAGAAAUUAAAUGAAGAAGUAAGAUGAAAAAACAAUUGUCCGUUGGAAAAAGAGAAAAGAAAAAAAACCAACGAAAAUAAAAGAUAGCUUCUACUAUCAAGAUUCAAGAGACUUGCCAUCAAGAACUUCACCACCCUUGAAAACAUAAAGCCGCCAUCUUACAGUAGGUUGCCGUGCUUCGGCUGGCUCGUUGUAUAGUAGUGUUAUACCUGGAAAAUAACACCUAAUUUAAAUAUUUUCAUCUGCUUUUAACUUUUACUAUAAAGAAAAGUAGAUCUCCACAAUCAUUACAUUGCACAUGUACAAACUGUUGGACAAUCCGAAUUCAAGUACUGUAUAAAAAUUAGUUGCCUAGUUUGUAUGGUGUGAUAUAGUUUCCCAAAGUAGAUUUGGUUGUCAUCUAGUUCAUCAUUAUGACAAGGGUGUUAGUCAUAUAAACCAACCAUUAGUGUUAAUAAUUAUUCUCAUCCCCCCCCCCCCCGGUGGCCCCCGGCCCCCUCCCUCUCCCUCCUCCCUGUCUCAACAUGGUAUUGGAGUAUCAGAGACUUAAGAGGUUUUGAAAUUAUUUUGUUUUCUAAUAUUUCUACCCUAAAGUUUACCAUGCCGCCCCAGGACAACAGCUAUCCUCAACACUUUGGGACCCCAAAAGAAAGCGUAUACUCCGGUGAAUAGGCUUGUGAUACUCUAGUGUGUAGUAUUUCUGGUGAGCUUCUUGUAAGGACCAUCAACAUCCAAAUUCAUAAGUUCAUCUAAAUGAGAAAUUGUUGCCUACUCUCAUCAAGAUUAAGAAAACUGAGUUUAAGAAGACAAAGAAAUCAAGACUUACCCCUGAAUCUAUUGGUUUCUUCAGCAAGCUUUCCAGAUAGCUCAAACGAU
rnacentral:lncRNA from 1 species